rnacentral:lncRNA from 1 species
GACUUAUCUUAGUACAACGAAUCUAGAUAGGCUUUAGAAUGUGUCACAUCCAACCAAAAUACCUUAUAUUUAGGGACGAAAUGAGUACUUUUUUCACCCAUCAUUUUUUUUCCUAUCACAUGUCCUUUUGCUACUUUAUUAAUUUUAAAAAAGGUAUAAUCCUCUAUAUAAUAAGAUGAAAUGAGUACUUAAUUAAUCAUAUGCUAAUAAUAUUUCUUGUUUGGUGUGCUCUGGAAAUCUCCCUCCAAACCGAGGAAACGAACUAGCCCUAGGCUAUGUUCUUUUUUCCGAGUUACCAACUUCUACUCCUUUAUUUUUUGCGCGCACGUGUUUUUUAAAAAUUUUCUAUAGAAAAGUUGCUUUAGAAAAUCAUACUAAUGUAUUUUUUAUGUUUUUUAGCUAAUACAUAAUUAAUUAUGUAGUAAACCAUCCAUACCUCCGAACUAGUUAACUUCACUCCACAUCUCAUCAAGGUCAAAAUAGAGAAAAACAGAGUAAUUCAUACUCCCUCCAUUCAUAAAUACUUGCUUGAUACUAUUUGCACUUUGAUAUAAAUAGAGUAAAUUUUAUAAAACUACAAAUAUUUUCAUCAAACUAUUGCAAAACUAUAGAUUUAAGAUGUUAUAUAAAAAAACUACAAGUUUAGUGUUAAGUUUAUCACAAAACUAUAGAUUAAGUAGCAAAUUUAUCAUAAAACUAAAGGUUUAGUGUUUAUUUAAUCAUAAAACUGCAACGUUUAUAGCUCAAACAUAUUGAUAGUGCUAAGGAUUUGACCUCUAAAUUCUGUAGUUCUGUGAUAACUUCGAUAUUAAAUAUAUAGUUAUGUGAUACUUGGCUUUAAAUCUGUAGUUUUUUUUGAUAAAUUUUACGCUAAAUUUGUUGUUUUGUGAUACAAUGCAUUAAAUAUGUAGUUUUAUGAUAGUUUGAUCAAUAUAUAUAUAUAUAUAUAUAUAUAUAUAUAUAUAUAUAUAUAUAUAUAUAUAUAUAGUUUUGUGAAUUUUAUUAGGAGAAGUUUUGUGAAAUUUACUCAUCUAAAUAAUUGCUUGAUACUAUUUCUAUUUUGAUCACGAUCUGUUCACAAACAAAUUUAAAUAUCUGAAAAGAUGUUUUAUUAUUAAAGCGUGUUGCAUGCUAACAUUAAUAUUACUAGUUGAUACCAUGCGCUUUGUUACGAGAUAUGUAGAUGAAUACAUGUUAUACAUUAUAGAAAUGGUAAAUGUAUAUCUUUAAAUAAUCUGGAAAUGAUGUGAAGAUAAUAAUUUGACAUUGCUUGCAUAUUGAGUUCUAAAAAAUUCAACAAAAUUGUAAAUGAUAUGUCAUGUUUGCAUGAUAUUUAAAAUACUCUAGAUAAUAAUUAUUAGUGGAUGAUAAUAUGACAUACUUGCAUAUUGAGUUUUAGAAGUUAGUGAGCACCAACUAUAUAGUAAGAUAGAUUUGUCAAUCAUAGUAGUCUAACCGUAUAAAAAGUCAUCGUUAGUGGCCAAGUUGAAUUUAACGAUGGAUAAUGAAAUAUUUGAGAUCAAGGUUUUUAAAAUGAUCCACAUUAGAUAUUGCAAAGUUUUAUUUGAUAUAGUGCAAAGUUUUAUUUUGAUAUAGCAUAACAAAAAUUACAACAUUACAACACAGUAAGGUUAAAAAAAACAUAACAAACAUGCCAUCAUCACAAGUGUUGUCAUCCACACCAACCACCGAGUGCACUAGUUGUCACGCCCACCUGCCAUGCCGGCUGCCCAGCACUGCCUCCCACUAUUGUCGCCACCGGCGAGGUCGGCCAUCCAUUAAUUGUCGUUGGCCUGACCACGCCAGCCUCCCAUUGCCCCCGCCGUUUGACCCUAGUCAUAUUUGACGUGGAGAUGAUGGACUAGGGACACCCCAUCAGAUCAGUCGUGAUGAUGUUGUAUCAGCAACCCCAUACUAAUGGUUCACCACUGUAGCCUCUCCUGGCUUGCCAAGCUCCACACCGCCUCACCCGCACAAGAGGUGAAGCGUAUCGGGGUUGGUUUAGCCUCGUCGCCACCAUCAUGACUCACCGCUAGGUUCUCUAGGCAGUGUGCUCCGACAACGGUGAGGUGGAGAAGAGGAGAGAUGAGAGGGCUCUCAAGCCGCCCGCAGCCUGCACGAGGACGACGCGUGGUGAGUCCGAUGCUGUUUCACUGUAACAGACAAGGAUAUUCUUUUAAUAAAAACUCCGCUUAUAUCUACUAGCAAUAAGUGCAGAUUGCCCUGGAGGAUAGUGCAUACUCCCUCUGUCCCAAAAAAAGCAACAUAGGAGGGGAUGUGACCCUCUUUUAGUACCACGAAUCUGGACAGAGGGUUGUCUAGAUUCGUUAUAUUAGGAGAGCUGGUUGUCUUUUUAGGGACGGAGGGAGUAAGAAUUAGGAAACGUCUUUAGGUCCUGUUUAGAUUCCGCCCCAAAAUUUUUCACCCUGUCACAUCGAACGUUUAACACCUAUAUAAAGUAUUAAAUAUAGGCUAAAAAAUAACUAAUUGCACAUAUUGCGACUAAUUUGCGAGACAAAUCUUUUAAGUAUAAUUGCUCCAUGAUUUGACAAUACGGUGCUACAGUAAACAUUUGCUAAUGAUGGAUUAAUUAGGCUUAAUAAAUUUGUCUCGCGGUUUACUGACGGAUUCUACAGUUAGUUUUUUUAUUAGUGUCUGAACACUCCAUACGAUACCAUAUAUAAUAUACGAUGUGACAUUCUAAAACUUUACCGCCGUGUAUCUAAACACCCCCUAGUCAGCAACUCCUAUCCACUAGCAGUCCAAUUAAUUUUCUCUGUGAUCCGGUGCCCUCUGACCCGCAACUUCCUUUUGGCACUAAACUCGUCUUAUCCGCAUGAUUGUUGACUAUAGUAUGUAGAUUGGCAUUGGAAGAUACUACGAUUGUAUAGAUUGACGACUUUACCUAAUACAUCACCCGUUUCAAACUUUAAGCGUUUUUAGUUUCUUUAGCGAAACGAAAGGUAGAGAGAAAAUAUUCUCUUUUAUAGUUAUUUUAGUCGUUAAAUUCUUUCCUAACAUCUUAGUGACGGGAAAUAUAUAGAUUUCCAUUCAUUAGAAUAUAUAUUUUAAAAAAUAUAUUACGGUAUAAAUAUCAAAACUCUACCGAUACUUAUAUUUUAGAAUAAUAAAGGAAGUUAUUUUUUUCCGAGCAAAUACAAAUGCUUAUGAGCACACCUGCGAAUGUGUCAUCUAGCGUAUACUCAUUUUUAUCAAAAAAAAAAAACAAUAUAGUAUGUUCAAAUACGUUGUACUAGAAUACUAGAUUAAGUAUUUUUAUAGAUGAAGUAUUUGUUCUGGUUAUCGAGAAAAUGCUUUGAUGACUAAUCAUAUGGAUAGAGGUGUAAUUUUAGCUUUUUUAUUUGUGACGUACUCCAUCCGUCGAAUAAAUAUCAACAUAAAACUGAUAUGUCACAUUAGUAUUAAUAUUAGAAGCAGUUCUCGUUUUGGAUGGAGGGAGUAUUAAUUUUGGCAUGCUUGCGGAUAGGCACAAAGAAACAGGGACGGUUUAUACUUGAUAAGCAGCGGCGGAAGCCCCCACGAUUUUCAGAAUUUGCCCUCCUCACUUCUAUACUUCAAUCCCCUUCCUUUAUUUUUUUUUUUGGGAGGGGCCGAGGCAACCGUCGCCACUCCGACGAUCCCGUCCCAUCCGCCGCCGCCGCCGGAGAUUUCCUCGAGGUAAGCCCUACCCCGCUCCUCUCCAGCCUCUCUCCCCUUCGGCGGGCGCCCAGCCCGAGCCCCGACCUCGAUUUCUUGGAAUUUCUUGGCGAGCGUUUGUUUCUUGGGGUUUCCUCUAGAUUUUUUCUUUUUUUUAUUAUUUUGGGGACGGAUUUAGCUCUCGUGGAGGAGAUUGGGCGGAUAAUUUCGUCGGAGGGGGGAGGGGGAGGGGGAUGUUGGAAUCGGGUGGUGGGUAAUUUCGUCGAUUCUCCGGUCCUUUUCCUUGAGUUUAGCCUGGGAAUUGCGGUUGGUUCUUGGACGCGGUUUGAGUUCUUGGUUUUUUCCACUUUCUGUGCGGACAGAUUUAGGGCUUGCGCUUUGCGAGUGGGGGUAAAAUUCGAUGGUGUGCUGUUCCAGCUUUGUCCACAUACUGCUUGGAAAUUUCAGGAGGUUUUUUCAGUCAAGUCAAGCACAUCUUUUUUGCUAGACUAGGCCAUGAGAUGGAGGUUAACGUCGAACUGUACCCACCUCAGCUAAAAAUAAUAAUAAUUCUCAACAACAGUAUCCAAGUGGCUGUAUUGUUUAUUCUUGUUUAGUUAUGACGCAGAUGAAUACUACUCGCUAAAGAUUGUGACUUUCUUAGUUGUCACCUCGUCGUGUGGAGCCCUGUGGGUUCUUGCUCUUGACUUUUAUCAAACAAUGAUUGCUUGGCAAGUGUCUUGUUUGAUUCGUCUGCCCUUUGGCUUGCAUCGCCAGAGUUUGCUGGCUUGCGCUGGCAUUUAAUCAAAAGUAUAAUCAUUCCCCCAAGUAUAAUCAGGAUUAGCAUAAUCUUUAGCUUCAACUAUUUAUAUGAUAUAUUUGGCUUGUCUGUAGUCUGUAGUGGCCAAGAACAUCCUGAAGCAGAUUUAUCCUAUCAGGCUAUCAGCACUAAGUUGAUCGGCACGUAUAGGUUUUCUUUUGCGUCAUUCUUUUUCAUUACUGCAUUUCUAUGGUGAAUUGUUUUCUUUUCUUUUGUAUGGCUACAUCUAUUACCCUGUUGACUUCUGUGAGCCUGUGAUGUACUCCCUCCGGGCUGAUAAUACUUGUCAUUUUGGACAAGCGCACGGUCUUCAAAAAACAACUUUGACCAUUAUUUCCUAUUAUAAUAUGUAAAAAAGUGUUAACAAAUAUAUGAUCAUAUUAAAGUACUUUUUAAGACCAAUCUAUAUAUGUAGUCACCAUAUUUGAAAGACAAAUAUUUUAAAAAUGAUUUAUAUAAUCAAAUAUUCUAAAGUUUGACCUCACCCUUGUCCAAAACGACAAGUAUUAUCAGCCCGGAGGGAGUAGUAAUCUUAGGCAUUUUUCAGGGAAUGAUUACACAGUAUAAGUUUGAGUAAUGUGUUAUCAUGAUAUGCUUUUCAACAAGAUAUACAUAUUUUUUGCAACACUGUUUGGUCUAAGUUAUCUGAAAUUGCAAUUGCUUGACUUUUCAUUUGGGAUGCGUUGGGCAAUCUAUUGUCCUGACAUACAUUCAUCUUCAUUUGAAGCCAUGGCUUUAUCUUUUUUAAUUCAUAUCUUUUGUUUCUGUUUGUAUGUACUAAAAACUUGAAAUAUGAAUUUCCAUUGGAGAAGUUAACACCAACGGAGUAUAAGCAAGAUUAUGGCAAAACAUUCAGUUGUUAGUUGUUUCGUUAGCAUAUGGCACCAUUUGUAAUUCUGCAUUUCUUCCUUUCUAGAUAAGCCAUGGGUCAAGCACUCGGUUUGGUACAAGUAGAUCAAUCGACAGUAGCCAUCAAGGAGUCCUUUGGGAAGUUUGAUGAGGUUCUUGAGCCUGGAUGCCACUUUUUACCCUGGUGCAUAGGGAAGCAGAUCGCUGGAUAUCUUUCCUUGCGUGUGCAGCAGCUGGAUGUCCGUUGUGAAACAAAGACUAAGGUUCCCCAGUUUAUUUUCUUAACUCUGGUUUCUUUUAUAUUUCAUGGCAAGUGUCUGGAGCAAUUGUCAGGCAUGAUAAAAAAUGGUUCUCAAAAUUCUUGCAUUUUGUUCCAUUCGUUUACUCCUUUAUGAUAACAUACUGAUGAUGGUUAUGUGCACAUAUCUCUGUUUUCCUUAUUCUUCACUUACACUAAUGCAUGAUGCAUCAAAGAAUAAACCCACCUUUUCUGAGCUCUCUGACGAUGUAUACCAUUUUGUGGAUAUCUGCAGGACAAUGUUUUUGUCAAUGUUGUGGCAUCUGUGCAAUACCGUGCUCUUGCUGAGAAGGCAUCAGACGCCUUUUACAGGCUUAGCAACACCAGGGAGCAAAUCCAGUCGUAUGUUUUUGAUGGUAAGGUUCCUGUAUGCUGUGAACAUUCAUGCAUCCGAUGCAUUUGCAGUUCAUACUCUUCUGAUUACCUUCUCUAUGUUUUGCCUCUAUUGUUCAAUGCUAACAGAACUUUCUUCCUCGCAGUGAUCAGGGCUAGUGUUCCAAAGAUGAACUUGGAUGAUGCAUUUGAGCAGAAGAAUGAGAUCGCAAAAGCUGUGGAAGAUGAGCUUGAAAAGGUUUGUGUUCAAUAAUUGGUGGUCAUCUAGAGCAUAGUGGAGUUUUAUACUGACCUAGUAUAUACUCUGUAGGCAAUGUCAAUGUAUGGUUAUGAGAUUGUGCAAACUCUUAUUGUUGAUAUUGAACCAGAUGAGCAUGUUAAGAGAGCAAUGAAUGAAAUCAACGCAGGUAAGUAUUAAUUAAAACAUCAAUUCAUUCCAUUUCUUCAGAGACAUUAUUUGGCUUGGUGUUUAUGCUUGACAUUUGAGCUUGCAUUGGAAACAAUUUUCUCCUGUUUAGACAUGAAAAUGUUAAAUUCUCUUUCCGAGAAACAAAACCAUGUUUAUAUUGUCUAGUUUUAUUCAAGUUUUAUACUGAAACACUGAAAAUUGUUGCCACAAAUAUUUUUAGGCUUUCAACACAGUAACACUGUAAGUUAUAUAUAGAUGGAACACUGAAAAGUUAUAUAUAGAUGUACAUAACAUAUUAUGAAUAUUAACUUCGUGAAUACUUGCACCAUAACAGUCAUAAGUAACACAGGCACAUGUAACUGCAACCUAUUGAUUACAUUGUGUGCAACAAAAAAUGUGUUGGUCAACUAGUCAAGUAAAUAUUUCGUGCUUUUUAAGGGCCUGCAACAUAUAUGUUUGGUUGGUCUGGUGUUUUUCUAAAGAUGAGCUGUAUGGCUGUAAAUGUGCUGGACGGCAACAUAGUUUUAACUGCUGUUAUUUGAUGAUACAGCUGCUAGGCUGAGGGUGGCAGCCAAUGAGAAAGCUGAAGCAGAGAAGAUUCUUCAGAUCAAGAGAGCUGAAGGAGAUGCAGAAUCCAAGUACUUGGCUGGUCUGGGUAUCGCAAGGCAGCGUCAGGCUAUAGUGGAUGGGCUGAGAGACAGUGUUCUUGCCUUCUCCGAGAACGUGCCUGGGACCUCUGCCAAGGAUGUCAUGGAUAUGGUUCUGGUUACGCAAUACUUCGACACCAUGAAGGAGAUAGGAGCCUCAUCCAAGUCCUCUUCAGUGUUCAUCCCUCACGGGCCAGGUGCCGUCAAAGAUAUCGCUGCGCAGAUAAGAGAUGGUCAGCUCCAGGCCAAAUUGAUCUAAGAGGAUGGCAGGGAAUGGAUGUUCUGGAUUUCUUGGGCAUUACGAAAGUCUGCAGUAAUACCUUAUCUACGUAUUCGAUAUUUUGUGAGAUAAAAACUUAGGCAAAAGAAGUUCUAUUGUAAGUAUCACAUGCACGCGUGCUUCAGUACCGUUUGUUCAUAGUAAUUCCUGAGGUUAUUUCCCUAGACGAGUGUCAAUAUACUUCUUGAAUUGCAUGUUUCUGUAAAUAAUUCCUAAGUGUUACCGGGCUGUUUGGAAUUAUUUGCAUGUUGAUGUUAGUGACCUUAAGUAAUGUCCCAUCUUAUUAUGUGAUGUCAUGAUGAUUUCCAGAAUGCUAGAGUUUAAUACUGCUUGUGGAGAAAUAUCAAAUACUCCCUCCGUUUUGAGAUUACCUGUCGUUCUUGCUGCUUUGUCCUAAGUUAUACUUUUUUGUAGCUUUGACCAUUAAUUUUUAAAAAUUCGUUUAACAUCAUAAGGUUUAUGUUUUUUAUUUACUAUGAAAAAUGCUUUCAUAAAAUAUAAUUCACAUGUUGUUAAUCUAUACAAAUUUUUAAAAGUUGAUGGUUAAGACAGAACAAAUCUACAACUAAAAGGGCCCCUUUAAAUUACAUGAAUGAAAAAACGGAGGAAUAGAAAAAAAACAUAUGAUUCUAACAAGAAUGUAAGUGUAAAACAGAGGAUUGUAAAACACAGUAGAAGAUAGGAACAGAGGAUUGUAAAACACAGUAGAAGAUAGGAAUGACCAUUUGAUUAAGUCACAGGAAAAACACCAGAAUUUAAGGAGAAAUAUUCUUUCCAUGAGGUUCUACCUUAUGUUAAAUUUUCUCUAAAACUUGUCUGGGAAGAGACAUUUCAUAGAAAUUUCAUAUGGUUUUAUAGGAUUUAUUCUUUUGAUUCAAAGGGAUAUAUAGAAAAAUUUUCUAUAAGAAUAAAAUCCUUUAAAUUUUUUAUGAAUUUCCUUUGGCCUAAGUAUUUCAAACGGAGGGAGUACCAUACUUUUUUUCUCUGCCAGUGCAGUGCCUUAGAGCAUCACCAACAGUCUAUCUAUUCCAUCCUCAAUCCUAAUUUUUUGGGAUUUUGGUUAAAAAAAACUGGUCCAACAGAUUCCCAAAAGAGCUCUGGACGUUUUGGAGUUCCCAUCUCCAAUUUUCUCGGUACGUGUAUUUGAGGGCGAGAGAACGACUCCCAAUCCCCUCCUUCCACUCGAAUUUCUAAAAAAACGAUUUCUAUUGGUAGUUUAACAAUUUCUAAAAAAAACUAAGGUUAACAAUUUAUGUUGGUAGUUUAACAGAAGAGCCCACUUUUAGUUUUUGAGAUUCAAUUUAGGUAUCUCUUGGAGGAAGCGGUUUUUUCACCUUCUAUUUUCAGUUUAAGGGAUAGAUUAUUGGUGGAUUGUUAGUAAUGCUCGGAGGUUUGGAGAUGGGAAUCUGGGAUUUCUGCAUUGAAAAUCGUGAAACUGUGCUUAAGAUUAUUCGCCUUUUCCUGUUUGUUUUUCAACGGAUGGCACGAACUCAAGAGGGAAAAAAAAGCAUUUCUUCACUUCUUCAGCUCUACUGGUACUCUGCUAGUAAUUGUUUACAGGACAUGCAGAAACAAUGAUAUAAAUUUCGAGAGAAAUUAGGUAUAGGAGCACAUUUCUGUAGUAAUUGAUUCUUUUAGAAAAUUUGAAUCGAUCUUGUCGUAAAAUUAUCGUGACACAUACAUAAUCUCCAACACCAUCUUGCAAAUGAAACUCAUUUGCGCUAUAAAUUUCACUUCCUGAUCAUAUCAUACAAGCAACACUCAAUGGCGCCAUGGUCUUCAGCAAAGACGACUUGAGACCAUCAUCAUCGUAAGAAGGCAAAAAUUUCUGUACCAAAGCUUCCAUUCAGAAACAGAUCGUCACUAGCUGCAAAUCCUGCAAAUGUCUGAAAAUGUUUGUAAUUUCUCCUCUUGUCCAAUUGCAAGAACUGCCUAAGAAUCCCAGAUCACCUCCUCCUCAGCCGCUGGCAGGUGGUGCCGCAUCUGCAGCAGCAGCAUUUGCCGUCGCACCCUCCUCGAGCUGGACGAGUCGGGCCACGAUCUCCUGCUUCUUGGCCUUGAGGUCGUCGAUCUUGGCGUCCAGCUUCUCCAGCUUGGCUCGCAGCUUGGCCACGUCCGUCGUCUCCUCCACCUUCUCCUUCUUCUCCUUGCCCUUCUCCUUCUUCUCUUUCUUCUCCUUCUUCUCCUUGGCCGGUUUCGCCGCCUCUUCGCCGUUCUUCUCUUUCUUCUCCUUCUUCUCCUUCUCCGGUUUCGCCUCUUUGGCGUGUUCCUUGAUGAUGAUGAUUUAUAAUUGCCAUGCAAAAAGGAGUGCAGAUGUUCGUCAGAGUUUGGUGAGCAAUGUUACAUGGUUGUGUGACUAAAGUGUGAUUGUUUGAGAAUUUCUUGUUGUAAGCAUCAAAUAUAGUAUCACCUUUCUUUUUGGUUUUGAAGACUAGUAUUUAUUAUCUUGUAUUAUUGUGAGAACUCUCCUAGUUCGACUGUCAUUUCUUAUGAUUCUCACACAAUCAUGAGUGAGAAUAAGUCUUAUCCUGUCAACAAAUUUUUUUUUCAAAAAACCAGAAGAAUGUUUACCUUGUCCUUUUUCUCCUCCUUGUGAUGUUCCUUGGCUACAUCUGCAGCUUCCAUCUGCAUUGACAGAGAACAUGAUGCAAUGUUCACAAUAUUAGCUUGGAAUUAACACACCAGUCAUGUUUUCAUGAAAUGGAGAUAUGAAGCUUCUCAAAUCAAAGAUUCAAAUGCAGAGGGAAUGGGAGCUUAGCUAGCUUGCCUUUCUCAAGAAACUAACAAGAUUAUCUGUGGUGAGAUUUCUGUGAGCCUUGACUCUUGUGGACAACAAAACCAAUUUCAAGUAGUACGGAUAUAUACAAACUAAAAUUGAGUUCUAUGGAUAUAUACAAACUAAAAUUGAGCUCUAUAAUUAGGAUAGUGUAUGGAUUUGGGCAUGCUGUUGUGAGGAUAAGAGUGAAAGUCUCAUUCAGCUAAGAAUAGCAUCAUUUUAUUUUUCCUUCUGUAGUACUACUAGCUAGCAAGAAAACCUACCUGGCUAUCUAUUCCAUUAAUGAAAAUUGUCUUAUAAUGAUAACAACCUAUAUAUGAUUCAUAAGAUACCAGGCAUGAAAAAGUAUAAAGAACUGGGAGAGCGAGAGAUGGAAUGAGAUAAUUCUUACUGUCAAUUGCAUGCAAACUUUAAAAUAUAUAUAGCCAUACAUGAGAGACUAUUUACAGGGUGAAUUAAAACAAGAGAGUUACAAGAAUUAACUCUAACAAAGCUACUGCAUUGAUGCUAUAGGGGGUUAAACUUGGUGGUAAUCAAUAUUAAUUUUUAAAGAAUUAAGUUGUGUACCUCCUUUACAUCCAAAUUAAGAGUACAUGAGUGAGAGACUGUUACAGGUUGAAUUAAAACGAGAGAGUUAAAAGAAUCAACUCUAACAAAUGUAGAAGUUACUACAUUGUAGUCAAGGGCUCAGUCAAUGCUUUGAUUUCUUUCUUUGGUUGGUGAUUCAAUGUUCUUGAUUGAUUACAAUCUUUGUAAUUUUUUUCUACGGUUUUCAUGUCCUUUUGUAUGAUGUAAAUAUUUUUUUAAUAAAUGCCAUACUGUUGGACAAAUACAUAACAGUAAUUCCCAUAAAAAAAUAAUUGAUGUUGUGCUUGGUAACUGGUGGAUCAAGAAGAAGCCAUCUUUGAUCUUUGGUGUCAAAGAUCCUAUUGUUAGUUUAGGGUGUAAUCUUUUUUCUUUUUGUUUGUGGUGCGUUCGUGAUGCGUUGAGUCUGUCGUGUAUUAUGUUUUCUCCUUUUCCGAUGCAAUAAUAUGCCAACUCUCUUGCGUAUUUGAGAAGAAAGAGCUCCUUUAAUUACAUCCCUCAUUUUUAACACUAAAAAUAAAUAUAUGUUUUUUUUCACGAGUGAUGAACUGAGCUAUGGCCCUGUUUAGUUCGCGAAAAGAAAAUUUUUGGGUGUUACAUCGGAUGUUUGACCAGAUGUUGAAAGGGGUUUUCGGAGACGAAUGAAAAAACUAAUUUCAUAACUCGCCUGGAAACCGCGAGACGAAUCUUGAGUCUAAUUAAGCCGUCAUUAGCACAUGUGGAUUACUGUAGCACUUAUGGCUAAUCAUGGACUAAUUAGACUCAAAAGAUUCGUCUCGCUAUUUCCAUGCAAAUUGUGCAAUUAGUUUUUGUUUUUAUCUAUAUUUUAUGCUCCAUGCAUGUGUUCAAAGAUUAGAUGUGACGUUUUUGGGUAAAAGAAUUUUAGGAACUAAAUCAAACCUAUCUUGUAGGGUCAAUGUGAACCGUCCUGAUAUUUAUUUGUGCAUAAUUCUCAUGCUACAAAGAAAACAUGCAACACACUCGAGGGAUCCUCAGUUGCAAUGCUUUGGAGCCUAGUUGGAUAAUACUAUAUGGCAAGUUUCAUUUAUUACCCUGUCAAAAUAAUUUGAUAAGCGGCAAACCGAAACACACCAUUAAAAAUCUUGUCUUGAUAUAAUAUUGUCAUUUAAGCAGGGAGGGUUUAGAUUUCAGGUCAUUUGUAAAAUUUCAGUUACCUUUCUCAUUCGUUGAUGAAAAAUAUAACAGCUCUCAUCGCUAUCAUCAUUUAAUUUCCAUAUUUAAACAAAGUUCCAUCUUAAAAUUGAUUUUUCUAUCCUAAACAUGAAAUAAUUUUAUAAAUUUAUACUUGAUUUAUAUUUACAAAAUAAUACGAAAAAGUACUCAAACUUACAUGAAAAAAAAUGUAGUAGCAUAUGCAAUAAAAAAUUAUAUGAAAAAUUUUUGACUUUAACCAACAAAACCUAUUCUUAAUUUUUGAUUGUUUCAAUGAGAAAAUUUUUGAAAAAUUAAGAAUUCUAGUAUUUUUUUUAUUCCUUCAGAAAUAGAUAAGAAUUAGUUUGGUGAAUCGGAAACUAUUUUUCAAUUUUAUAGAAAAAGUCCAUGUAAUUUUAUGAUCAAUAAUAGUUUUCGUUUUCCCCAAACCGUCUAAACUCUUAUCCACAUUCUGAUUUAAUAGCUCAAAAAUUAGAAAAUAAACUAUUCCCUUUGUUUCAUAUUAUAUGUCAUUUAUUUAUUUUUCUUAAUCAAACUUUUUUAAGUACGACCAAGUUAAUAGAAAAAUAAAGUAGCAUUUUCAACAUCUUCAAUAUAAAAUUAGUUUCAUUAAAUUUAACACUGAAUAUAUUUUGAUAUAAUGUUUGUUUUGUAUUGAAAAUGUUACUUUAUUUUUAAACUUGCAAACUUAAAUAAGUCUAACUAAAAAAAUAAAUCUAACUAAAAAAAAGUCAAACGACUUAUAAUAUGGACAGAGGGAGGCCCCGUUUGGCAUAGUUCCAGCUCCCAACUCCAACUUACCUAGAGCCGGAGUUGCGCCAAACAGUCCAGAUCCUCCAUUUUUGGAAGUGGAGCUGGUAGAGCUACUCCUAAAAAAUCAACUAUGGGGGUGGAGCUGGAUUUUUGCUGCUCCACAGCUCCACUCCACCCAAAAGACCCACUACCCUUUAAAAUUUUUAUGUAUUUACACAAAAAUACCACUGAACUACCCCUUCACAUCUCCUCUCCUCCCAUUCUCUCUCCCCAUCUUCCUCCCUCCCUACAGCAGUCAACAACGAGCCAGCGACGGACGACGGCGUCAACGUCGGCGGCGGCAGGCGGUGGUGGCACGGCGCGGCGCGUGAGAGCCACGGGCGGCGGCGGCGUCAGCGGGCACGUGGGCGAUGGUGGUGCACGGGAGGCGCGCGAGCCACGGUGGCGCAUGGGUUGUGGUGGCCAAGGUGGUGCACGGGCAGUGGUGACAGUGGUGGCAGCGGGCGAGCGACAGCGGCCGCGGCCGUGUAGGGCGACGCGUGGGUGGCGGCGGCGACGACAGUAGCAAGGCGAUGCCAACCAUGUGUUCGACAAAAUGCCUACAAGGAACGUGGUGGAGUGGAGCUGACUAAUCUAGCCAAACACUCUCGUACCCACUUCAGUUUCUAUAGGAGUUAGCUCUUGCUGGAGUUAGAGUUUAAAACCCUAUCAAACGGGGUCGGAGUAUUAAGGAUCUCAGGCUUUUAAAACAGUGCCCAAGGUUCCCUCUGGGUCCGGGCCAAAAGGCCCUAAACCUAUUCAGGCUCUGUACACGUGGCGGCCCCAAGGUGCUUAUCCUGGCCCGGAAGCAACCGAACAAGAGUUCCCUUCCUUUUUAGCCGGCGGCGAGGGGCAUAAUCGUCUUCUUCCCUCCCUCCCUUCCCCACUACUCUACUCCCCCACUCGCCGUCGCAACUCCCGCCGCCGCACCGCCGCACCGCCACACCGCCCCCGCCGCAAAUGGCGGCCUCGCCGGAGCAGUUCCGGGGCCAGGCGCGGCUCCCGCGGUGCGCCUCCCCGCUCAGCUACGACCUCCGCCUCCGCCCCGACCUCGCCGCCUGCGCCUUCUCCGGCUCCGCCGCCGUCGCCGUCGCCGUCUCCGCCCCGACCCGAUUCCUCGUCCUCAACGCCGCCGAGCUCGCCGUCGACGGAUCCUCCGUCCGCUUCCAGGCACGCGCGCACCGCCUCCCCCGUUAACCAUCCGUGUCUGUUUGCGUUGUUGCCGUGUGUUCGUUUCAGGGUCGCUCAAUCGUUGUAUGAUGGGGUUUUGUAGGAUUUGGUGCCUUCCGAGGUGGUGCAGUUCGAGGAGGACGAGAUCGUGGUCAUCGGGUUCGGCCAGGAUCUGCCGAUCGGCGAGGGCGUGCUCAAGAUGGACUUCACCGGGACGCUCAACGAUCAGAUGAGAGGCUUCUACAGGAGGUAUCGUUGCCACCUCUUUCAGUUACAGAUAACUGGUGAUUGUUGCUAGUCUCUCGUUCACAUGAGGUGCGAACAGGCAUUCCAGCAGCAACAGCUUGCAGUUCUGGUUUAUUAGAUGGUAGUCGCGGACGUGGGAUUUCUAGAUAGAGAAUCGAGUUUUAGAGAACAAUGUCACGAUAUCUAUGAAAAAUCAUUUUUGAUAUGCCAUUAAAAAUGAGUAAAUAGUUUUCCAUAGUUUGGAUGAUUUACAUGAAUUUGGAGAAUUUUUUUGGUUUGGAGGCUACUUUUCUGAAAAUGUAUAAUUGGUUCAAAUUCUUACUCCAAUAUUAGUUAAAAAAGAAGACUUAAGAAUAUCUAUUCUUCGUGCUGGAGACGACCAAUUGAAACUUGAGGAAAUAAGAAAAAUAUUACAUACUACAUAGGAUGUAUGGAAGAGUCCAAGACACCUAACACUAGUAUUACUACAAGCUAUUGAAAUUCUAACAAACAAUUACUACAAGCUAUUGAAAUCCUAACAAACAGAAGACAAAAAAAUUGAACACCUAAUAAAGAGAGGAGAAAAAAGAAUUGAGGAUGCAGGAAUCGAACCCUCGACAUGAUAUAUAAUAAGAAAGCUUUAAACCAGUACAAUAAGAUAAGCUUUAUGAUAUAACGCAUUGUUUUCAAAUAUCUUGGGUAUCCACUUGAAUACCUAUGAACCAUGGGGGGUUCACACCUACUAGAUGAGGUCCGAAGCUGCUAUUCGUUGUUAUGAGUAACUAGGCUUCGAGCAGUGACUUGAUGGAAACUGCAAGUGUGUGUUUGGAAGCAAUCAAUAGCAUUGGCACAUGAACUUUAACAACAAGGGCUAGGUGUACCGGUUCAAAAAUUGUUGCCAUGCUUGAUGUGCUAAGACAAUGGAUAGUAUCUAUAUCUUAUUUGGUAAUGUCCUAGAAAGUGACUAAGAUCUCAGGAUCUUUAGGAUGUGAGCUUGAAUCUACAAUCUUAUCUUAUAAUGAUCGACCAUCCACUCUUUGUUAAUCCUGAAACACUCUUCAUUAAACUUAUUGAACCAUUUGUGUCUGCCUAGGAUCCUGAUCUUGUCUUCAAAACACACACUAUACGCUAUUGGUAGAGUAUGCUGCUCUCCAUACUACCAUAACACCAUCCAUAACUCGCAGCCUAGCACCCACUGUUCACCAGGCCCUAUAGAGCAUUAGCAUAUGUAUAUCCAUCUUAAUAAUGUAGUUUUGAUUAUGAUUUUUUUGGCAUGUUGUAAUAUUAUAGGGCUUGGAUAGCAAACAUAGUUUUUGGGAUAUUUAUUUCCAUUUUUAUUUGAAAUUGCCACAAUUUGAUGUAACUAGUACCUUCCUGUGCUAUAUACCAUUUGUAAGUCUUAGUUUACUCCUGUCCUGUCUUUGUGUCACCAAGAUUCAUGAUUGGAGUGUGAUGUAUAAAUACUGUAUAUAUUAUCCAGGACCUCCAUGUUUGGAUUUUAUCUUCAUUUUUGUAACAAAGCUGUAUACAUUACAUAAUCAGUGUAGUUUGGAGUGCACCGGUUGUACUUUCUUUAUAUCCUUGUGAUCUGUUUUUAAUGCAUUGUGGGUGGUGUUUCCGUGUUUGAUUGCAGCAAGUAUGAGUACAAGGGGGAGUCAAGAAAUAUGGCAGUUACACAGUUCGAAGCUGCUGAUGCAAGACGAUGUUUUCCAUGCUGGGAUGAACCUGCAUUUAAGGUGUUUAACAUGCUACAAUGUUGUUUCCCUAGGAGUGUUUUGAUGUAAUUCAGACAGGAAAAUAUUGUAAUGAAAGAAAAAUUCAGUUUGCACUUCUAGUUUUUACACAGGUCUUAACUAAUAUUUUCAUGGUCCUUGGCUCCUUGCUCUGUAGAAUUUGGAAGGUUGGAUCAAUUAUCUAAAAUAACAUUACCUCUUGUCUGGUUAUUUCUGGUUUAGGCUAAGUUCAAGCUAACACUGGAAGUUCCAUCAGAGUUGGUAGCACUGUCCAACAUGCCAGUAAUUAAGGAGACAGUUCAUGGACCUCUCAAGACCGUCUAUUAUGAGGAAUCGCCACUUAUGUCAACUUAUCUAGUGGCUAUAGUUGUUGGUUUAUUUGAUUACAUAGAGGGCUCAACAUUAGAAGGUAGAAUUUCAGUUUCUGUCUCCAUUGUUUGCUCUCUUUCAUUCAAACUAUAUGAUAUGUCCCUUCUUUGCCUGGUCUUUACACAUUUUUUCAUUGGCUUUUGUUAAUUUAAUGUAGGCACCAAAGUUCGUGUGUAUACUCAAGUUGGCAAGAGUAACCAAGGAAAGUUUGCACUAGAUGUUGCAGUGAAGUCACUGGAUUUAUUCAAAGAGUAAGCUUCCAACAUAGUCUUGCUUCUAAGCUUUAUUUCUAAAGAUGAGGCAGAAUACCAUGGAUGGUGCCUAUUUCACUACAAUAACUAAUAAUGUUCUUUUAUCAGUUAUUUUGCCACUCCUUACCCGCUACCGAAGUUGGAUAUGGUUGCUAUUCCUGAUUUUGCUGCUGGAGCUAUGGAGAACUAUGGGUUGGUCACUUACCGAGAAACAGCUUUACUUUAUGAUGAGCUGUUAUCCUCAGCAUCCAAUAAACAACAGGUUAUGCCUAUAUUUAUCUUUAUCAAUUUCAUUUGUUUCAUUUACUAUUGGAGAGUUAGUCUCGCACUUGAAUCCUCAUGUGUAGUUUUGGCCAGGUAAACUGCUAUUUUUAAAAAAGAAAGAAAGAAAGAAAAAUUAACAUCUGUUCUCUUUAGGUUGCAAUCACUGUUGCACAUGAAUUGGCUCAUCAAUGGUUUGGCAAUCUUGUAACCAUGGAGUGGUGGACUCACUUGUGGCUAAAUGAGGGUUUUGCUUCCUGGGUAUUCAAUCUGAAAACUAUUGUUUGAGAAAUUAGAAAUAUUGUCCAAUUGUUGUGUAUCUUACCGGCUAAUUAUUCCAUAUGUUUCAACAGGUGAGUUAUUUGGCUGUGGAAGCAUUAUUUCCAGAAUGGAAUAACUGGACACAAUUUCUUGAUGAGACGACCUCUGGUCUCAGACUGGAUGCACUUGCAGAGUCUCAUCCUAUUGAGGUAAUCUUCUUCAGUAUGCUUUGGCGAAGUCACUGAUGGAUAAGAAACAUAAUAUUUUGAUGCUGCACAAAUAUGCAUUACAGAUAUGGAAGUACAUGAAAGCAGUAAGAUAAGUGAAUUAACAAGGAUACAAAUUGUGCAUGCAUACUGACUAGGGAUGAAAACAGAGCGGAUAUGGACAGAUAAUGCUCAUACCAUAUUCGUUUUCAUAUUUUUUUGCUGGAUACGGAAACGAAUACGGAUAGCUCGAAUACAGAAACAAAUACGGAUUAUCUCGAAUACGAAUAAGAAUCGAACAUGAUCGGACACAAAUACGGAAACAAAUUUUUUCUCGGAACACGUAAGCCAACUCAACUUCUAAUAGAAACAAAUAUCAACAUAUAUAAUUAGCUCAUUUUAUAUAAAAUGUAGUAUAAUUUAUAAAUAUUUUUAAAAAUUUAAAUAAUAUUAAUAGUGUGGACUAGUGUUAAGAGAUGAACUACUCUUAAAAUCUAAAAAGAUAAAGAAACGGGGUAUGCCUCAUGGCUUCUGCGGAUAUCUGAAUUAUUAUCCGUAUCCGAUAGAAACUCCGAUACCAUAUUCGUAUUCGUAUCUGUAUCCGAACUAUCCAAGAAUUAUCCGAUCCGAAAGGUAUCCGUAUUCGUUUUUCUCCGGAGCGGACGGGAACUAUCUGCUCUGUUUUCAUCCCUAAUACUGACUAGUCAUACAAUACAACCAAUUUUUGAUAUUUUUAUAAAUCUUUGCUUAAUUUAUUCAGGUGUUGAUGCUUAGAAAUUAGAUUUUUUUUUGGGUAGAAACUCAAAUAUGUCAAUAUGCUGCCAUGCAUUUUUUACUAUUUCUGUCUUCACAGAGUUAGCACCUUUGUCCCAGUUGUUAAUCUGGCUAUUUGGUAUGUUCGUUCAGGUUGACAUAAACCAUGCCUCUGAAAUUGAUGCAAUUUUUGAUUCCAUAAGCUAUGAUAAGGGCGCUUCCGUCAUUCGCAUGCUGCAAAGUUACCUUGGUGCAGAGCGUUUUCAGGUUAAAUCCUGUUCUUCUUUCUCCUUGAAUGAAUUUACCAAAAUCUUGUUUUCUGCAAUGGUCCAGCCUCCAGCAUCUCCUGCUGCUAGUAUAUCAGCGCUCUUGAAUUGACACUCUUAUCCACGCAUGUUAUAUUUAUAUUCUUCAUAAACAACUCAGCGCUAGAUGGCUCUACAGAAGUCCAGAUUGCAUUUAACUCAGAUUGAUUAAGAAAAUUUUGUUGACCAAAAAUAAUAAAGGGCAUCGUAAUUGUUUGCUUUGACUUUGUUUCUGGUCAUUUUGCAAAUCUGUGGUGAAUCUGCUGAAGAAUAUCUUGAGUUUGGAUUUUUCUUUUUUAGUUUUUGUUUAUUCUUUCCAGUAAAGAAGGUGAUAUCAUAGAAUGCAUGCGGUCAACAAGUCAUAUCAACUUUUACCAAAGGCUGUAGAAUAUAUAGUUGAGAUAUAUAAACAAUGGUGUGAGUGAUUUUUUCAUGAAAGAUACUCAUAAGUUUUUAGACCAAAGUAUGAAGAUUGAUCCAGCUUUACUAUACCCAAGAUAAGAGUCUCUUUACAGGAAAAAUAAAUAAAGAAAAGAUAUUCAUAAUUUUACAAUUACAUCAUUUCUUUUGAAUACUCGGUAACAACGUUUAGAAUUUUAGUACCCAUAUUAGCAUAUUGUUGUCUUUCUAUGAGAUUGUGUCAUGUUAUUGACUUUGUAUUUAUUAUCACAAUUUAUUAGUCUUCGGCAGGUGCUGAUUUUGUGAAUUUUUUACUCUUUCAGAAAGCUUUGGCAUCAUAUAUAAAGAAGUAUGCUUACUCGAAUGCCAAAACAGAAGAUCUAUGGGCUGUUCUUGAGGAGGAAUCUGGGGAACCUGUUAAGGAUUUGAUGACUACAUGGACUAAGCAACAAGGAUACCCUGUUAUUUAUGCAAAACUAGAUGGACAUGAUUUGCACCUUGAACAGGUUUUCUGGCAGAUUUCUCAUUCUCAUGUUAUACCAACAUACAUGAAGAACUGAAUAUAUGUAUCCAUCGGCCUUGCCUUAUUCCAUUGCCUUAUGCUUCGUCCAAUCUGAAAUCUAAGUCUUUUUGGCCUUAUUCCCAAGAACUAAGGAAGUAGCAAAAUGGUGUUGUUCCCUUCAUUUAUUCCAUUAAAAACACGAUCCAUUUAUUCAUAAUAGUAGUAGCUUUCAAGUAGAAAGAGAAUGGAGGGAAAAAAGAGAAAACUGCCUCAAAAAUUCUACAGUAACUUGCACUUAGAGAGAUUGAAAAGAGUAAAAGACUAAAAUGACUUUUAUUUGGAUUUGAGGUGGUAUAUGUCUAAGUUUUAGCUGUACUAGUCACUUGUUCAGGAUCGCUUCUUUCCAGAACCUCUACUUUUAUUCAUACAUCUAAUCUUAUAUUAGUUUGUUUCUUUUGUUUUUAACUUCUCAUAGUUGUCUAGAGGACCUCACCUUUCCUCAUACACACUUUUAGGACAACAUGCAUGUCACCUUGAUCAGAAACUCAGAACCAUAAUAACUGGAGAUGAGAAUAUCAUAGUGUGCUUUGUGUUUCAUGUUAUCUUUCGUUAUUCAUGUAUGGUCUGCUGAUGUCUUUAUUCACAAGUGUAUGGUUGUAUUUUUUUUCUCAAAUGCAUCCAAUAACUGGCAAAAUUAUAGAUUUCGAAGUAUUGGAACUAGAAAAUUUCGUUCUUCUGGCCCAUAUCAGUGCUUUCAUAUUGCAAAAAGAGGAGCUUACUGAAGUCUGUUCUAUUACAGGCACAGUUUCUAUCGGACGGAUCCUCUGGUCCAGGCUUGUGGAUUGUUCCUAUAACAUCAUGUUGUGGCUCAUAUGAUGCACAGAAAAAGUUUCUCUUGAAGGGCAAGACUGAUAAGGUCCAUAUAGACCUCACUGCCUCCCAAAAUGCCGGAGGAGAGAAGGGUGAAAACUGUUGGAUCAAAUUGAACGUUGACCAAACUGGAUUUUAUAGAGUGAAGUAUGAUGAUGAACUUGCAGCUGGACUUGAAAAGGCAAUCAAAGCCAAUAAGCUCUCUUUAAUGGAUAAGAUUGGUAAUGACAAGAUGAAUUUUCAAUACUACUCGUAUAAUAUAUCCUUGUCAAGAUUUUGACAACAGAAACACAAUAUUUUGCUGCAGGUAUUGUGGAAGAUUCAUACUCCCUUUCUGUGGCUCGCAAGCAAACACUGACAUCCUUGCUUCGCCUGCUGAAUGCUUAUCGCAAUGAGUCUGAUUACACUGUGCUUUCACAUGUAACCUCUGUAAGUAAACCUUUCGCCACCUCCAAUGAAAUCAUAUACCUUGUAUCUUUGAUUGAUUCUAUGGUAUCAACUAUUGUUCUCAAUAUUAAAUACAUGCAUCCUUUUUGACAGGUAUGCUUAGGCAUUGAUAAAAUAUCAGUUGAUGCUACUCCUGAAUUGUCCAGAGAUAUCAAACAGCUUUUGAUCAAUCUUCUUCUAUCAGCUGCCAAGUAUGCUAACAAACUUAAUGUUUUACCAUUUUCAUCAUCAUGUUUAUCUGGAUUUCACGAAUCUGGAUAUUAUCAUUUAUGUGCAUUUGUAUAUUUACUUCUGAGUUGGCGCAUGCCACUGGUGAAUUUGUUUCUGUUAAUAAACUUCUGUCUACUAUAUUCCUGCUGUUUUCUUUCUAUGAUCAUAUUGAAAUCCUUCUUGUACUUCUAAAUAUCAGAACACUAGGCUGGGAUCCCAAGGAGGGCGAGAGCCAUCUUGAUGUAAUGCUUAGAUCAUUGCUCUUGAUUGCCCUUGUCAAACUUGGACAUGAUGAGACUAUAAAUGAGGGAGUUAGGCGGUUCCAUAUCUUCAUAAAAGACCGCAAAACUAACAUUCUUCCCCCAGACACUAGAAAGGUUCAGGCUUUUGCUUAACAUACUACUGCAGUGUUACCUCUAUGAUAUCUAGCAUACUGAUAUGCAUUGGUCUGCAGGCUUCAUAUCUUGCUGUGAUGCGGACUGUUACUACCUCCAGCAGAGCUGGUUAUGAUGCCCUCCUGAAAAUCUACAGAGAAACAGCUGAAGCUCAGGAGAAGUCACGCAUCUUAGGUUUGUGCAUUCCAACCGUCUAGCUUAAGCGACAGCAGGAAUUUUCUGAUGAGUUGUCCUGGAAAGUAACGUUUCUUCUGUUUUAGGUUCAUUGUCUUCAUGCCUGGAUAAGGAUAUUGUUCUUGAGGCACUAAACUUCAUGCUUACCGAUGAGGUUAACCCUCUGAAUCAUUUAUAUUUUACUUAUUCUGAACAAAUGAUUCCAGAUAGUAAAUGGUAGAAUGAGAACCAUUAUACACCAUUGGUACAGAAGCCAAUCUAAUCUCUCUCUUGCUUGUUAGGUACGGAAUCAAGAUGCAUUUUAUGUCCUUGGUGGUAUCAGCUUAGAAGGACGAGAAGUUGCAUGGGCCUGGUUGAAGGUAUGUUAUUAUAGUUGCAGGGUACCUAAAGUGGAUUAUUAUAGUUAUCUGAUAAACAACGCACACAUUUCUGAUAUUUUUGAAAGAAAAAACAUAAGCACUGUAUGUGGUGCUCAAUAUAUAUAUAUUUUUACUGUUGUGAGGGGUUCAAAGUUCAAUUGUUCUGCCAAAUGCCAAUGCAUGCUAGGUGUCUAUCUCAAUACAAGAACAAAUAAUUUGUUAAAAGUUAACGAUGGAACUAAAACAGAUGAAAUAGGGAAGAUGAAAUUAUCAAAACUUCCUUUGCACCGACCGUGCCAAUAUCCAAGUUACUGCAAUUGAAUGAUGUUCCCUCCCUGUUCACACUUUGCACGAUUAGGUCUCUUCACCCAAAACUGGCGCAAUCAAUCUAUUUUACCAAAUAUCAUUGGUCCUGCUCUUUUAGCCAACCAGAAAACAAAAAAGCAAAAGGUUUUACUGAGAUACACAGUACAUCAUAGGAAAGCUGUUCUGACAGAUGAACUGAAGCCGUUUAUGCAGUUGCACCAAAUAGGAGUAUGCUGCUAAUGAGCUUUGUGCCCUUACCAAUGGCUGGGAAACUUAUUCCAUUAUCUAAAAAAAUUUCGAUGAUCACCUCCAUGAGAUUUAAAUCUCCAAACCCAUUCACGAGUCCACAAUUCUGCAUAGCUCUCUGCUAUUCGAGGGAAAUCCAAGCUUGUAGCGUAUGAAUAACAAUAGAACACAUUUUUCCACUUUAUAGAAGAGAUGCUGCCUGCAUAACACACUAUUUGAUACUACCUCCGCCCCCAAAAUAAUUGUAAUUCUAGGUUGUUUAGCAUAUAUUAAGGUUUAAGAAGAAAGACUAUGAUACCCCUUAUUAAAUGGUAUAUAGGUAAGAGUGGGAGGGUAGUUGAAGGUAAAAUAGAGAGAAAUUUGAAUAAGAAAUGAUUAAUGAGACCAUUAGUAUUCUGUUGUGAUAACUAUUUUUGGACAAAUUCAAAUCCUAUAAAUACAAUUAUUAUGGGACAGAGGCAGUAAUAAUGAGCUAAACGAAGAAGUUACAUUAAUAAGUUCUGUUAUUUUUAGCAAGUCUGAUUAGGAGUUCAGAGUAAGUUGUACUUUUAUGACCAUGAGCCCAUCUGUGCAUGAUGCAGGAAAACUGGGAUCAUGUCUUGAAGACCUGGCCAUCAAGUUCACUCAUAUCGGACUUCGUCAAAUCUACUGUUUCACGGGUACGCGAAGUCACCGACCACUUUUUGCUUCAUUGUUCUCCUUGCUCUGCUGCUAAAUUCGCCGUUUUCUCUGCAUGAUCAGUUCACCACAGAGGAGAAGGCUGCUGAAGUUUCCGAGUUCUUCGCCGGUAAAACCAAACCAUCGUUCGAGCGUGCACUGAAGCAGAGCCUCGAGAGGGUCCGUAUCAGCGCGAGAUGGAUCGAGAGCAUCAGGAGCGAGCCUAACCUUGCUCAGACAGUGAACGAGCUGCUGCAGCACGACAUGUAGCCUUCCUUUUGGGCUAAAGCUAUUUGUACGCUCAUGGAGGAUCGUACAACACAAAUGUUCUUCGAAAGGUUGUGCCGGGUGUGGCUGUUCUAACGAUCAUAUUUUAAAGUUUGUUUAGUUCUAUCUCUAUCUUUUGCUUGGGCAAUCGAAAAGACAUGUUUGGUCCUCGCAGCGAGGUGUGCUUGGUUCAGCUUUUGUCAGGACUGGCAAUGAAAAUCACAAAUCUUGUACAGAACUGUUUCAUUUCUACAGCCAUAUCAGAAGGGUUACAAAAAUAACACCACACCUGGUGUUGAUAACAUAUACAAAUACAAUACAUUACCUCUAUACAGUAAAAGAAAAAAAAAAGAUUGCACAACAUACAGGACAGCACCAGCUCGUGAAUUCCAAAGUUUAUAUUUCUACCAGGUACAGUUUAUACACAACAUGUUCUACUACUAGAUCGAAUAUGCUAGUCUCAUGUAAAGCCGUGACAGCUCUUAACGGCAUGUGGCAUGCAUCUCAGUCACUGAUGAUGUUCAUGGAGAACUUCGAUAACAAGUUUGGAAUUCCAGCUAUGAUUGAGCCAUAUACCUGCAAAAAAAAAAAGAGUCAGCUGAAGCAGCUGAGCUUAAAAAAAGAUGGUAAAAUCCCUUGUGUUGGAUGGUGAUAACCAAACUGACCUGAGCAUUGUCAUGAAUCUGGGAUAGAGGCACAGCUAGCAGCUUCAUGUUCCUUGGCACGACAAAUUGGCGAGACACCGGCAGUUUAAUCAAGAACAGUUUUAUGCAUUCCUUCAUGACAGGCAACAAUAAAAUGAUUCACUCAGGUUAUAAGCACAUUAAUAUUAUUUGAGGAAACCACAUGGUUCAUGGAUGAACCGGAGUGUAUGUCAAGCUCUUUACCUUUGGUGCACGGGCAUUUGGAAGUAGAUAUGGAAAUGGAGCAGCAUCAAACUCAGAUCUCCACCACAUCCCAAUGCACUCUCCAAUCUAUAGCCGAUAAUCAACGUGAAAAGGAUGAAUAAUUUGCUGGAUCAUACUGGUGGUCUCACUCCCAACAUUACUGAACAUCUCUGUUCACUCCAGUUACCUGCCAUUCGUCGUCCCCGUCGCCGUCUUCGUCAUCCUGAUGUCCAGCUACCGAUAACUUGGUUGAAAGUUUGCGCUUGAGCCCUUGGACAUCUGAAGCAGAGAUACCAGGCAACACACGUGUCAUCCAAAUUGCAAGUGUACCGGUGCACUAGCAUUAUCUCCCACGAGGAGAAAAUCACAUCCUACUCGGCAGUAGACACUUGCACAUGGCAAGAAUUCAAUAGUAGGUUCAAUUCAAUCCAUUCCUAAAAUUUUUACGGGAAAACUUGGGAAAUUGCAGCAAUGAUGAUUGAUGAGCACCUUGUUCCCCUGGUCUCAAGCGGCCACCGGGGAGGAGGAAGGAGGAGUUCCUGACUUGCAGGAGCAGCACGUGCGGAUGAUCAAAGAGCUCAACCAGCAGGACGCCAUGGACGCUGGUCCGGAGCCCGUGCGCCGCGAAGCUGCACAGAUCAAUCAAACCACACACACAAAAUUACAUGAUCGUCACGCAUUUGAUCGAGCAGGUGGCGGGUAGUGCGCGCGCGCGUGCGUACUUGGCCUUGAGGCGGAGGGCGCGGUCGGCGGCGGUCUCCAACCCCGCACCCGCGCCACCAGCGGCAACAUCCCUGGCGCCGAAGUAGUAGCGGCAGAGCGGGUAAAUCUCGACACGCGCCGCCGCCGCAGCGGGCGAAGGCGCAGCAGCAGCCUCGUCCGUCAUGAUCUCCAGCCCCAUGCCGGUGCAGCCGCCCGCCGAUCACCGCAACUUAUAUAUAGGCAGCCGCGCGCGCGGGGAUCAGAAGGCGACGGAGAUCGACGGGCAGAGCGAGGGUUUGGGAAGCUUCUGCCUUGGCCUAUACGAGCCUAUACAGGGUUUGGUUUGGUUAUUUGGGGGAGGAGAGGAGAAGAGAAGAGGAGAAGGGUAGAGAAAGGUCAGGAGCGGGAAGAAUGGCGACGUGGCGGGGAGGGGAGUGGGGUGGUUGGGCGGUGUGGGUGUGGGCCCGGACUGUGGUCGCUAGUCAUGGGCCCGUACGGGCUGCCGAACUUCGAUAGGCCGUGAUGAUGUAUUGGGCCGUCCACCAAGGCAAACGGAUCGGAUAAACUAUUUACCGUAACCGUAAUGGAAGAUCACUUUGACUCCCUCAACUGACCACCGAAUCUAAAUCGUAUCCCUCAACCGCAAUACCAGAAAUCUUGAACCCCCAACUUACAAAAUCGGUACGAUUUGACUCCCUUGGUGGUUUUGGAGAGUGGUUUUGCUGAUGUGGCAUAUACGUGGCAGCGUUGAUUUGGUCUUUGUCCCACGUGGCAUUGACGUGGCGCUUACAUGGCAUUAAAAUUUAAAAUAUAUGUGGGUCCAUUUGUCAUUCACACAAAAAUAAUUGUAGGCCCCGCUGACAUGUGGGUCCCACGUGUCAUCCUCUCUUUAUCCCUUCUUCCUCCUCCCUCUCCUCCCUUCUCUAUCUCUCCCUCUUUCUCUUUGUGCGUGGGGAGCGGCGUCCGAAUCGGCGGUGGCGACGGCCUAGAUCCAGAGCUCCGAAUGGCGGUGGCGGACGGGCCGCUGGACCCAUCAAACCGGGAAGCCAUGGCGACCACGCCGCCCGCCUCGUCCCAGCCGCCGCCGCCGCUGCCUCGCGCGCUUCCUUCUCCACCUUCUACCCUCCCGCGAUCUCCCUAUCCCUCUCCCGCUCCGCCGCCGCCAGCUGCCGCGGCCGCCUCGCCCUCGCGGCUCCAAGUCCAAGGGCGCAAGAGCGGAGGAGAACAAGAAGGGGCAAGAGCAGGAGCAGCAGGAGGCGUCCAUGACGGUGGUGGACGGCGCAGAGGAGGCCGGGAAGGAGGAGGAGGGGAGAAGAGCCCCGAGACGGUGGCGGCGGAGCUGAAGGAGGCCGAGACCGCGGCCAUCAGCAGCGGGUGGUGGGUCGGCGUCGCGCAGGAGAUGUCGAAGAUCGAGUGGCCGGUGCCCGGGAAGGUGGUGGGCACCACAGGCGUCGUGCUCGGUGUCAUCGCGGGCUCCACCGCCGCGCUGCUCUCCGUCAACGCGCUCCUCGCCGAGCUCUCCGACCGCACCGCCGCUCGAGCCCCCACCUGCCGCCGGCUCAUGUCAAGGGGAGAGAGAGAAAUAAGGGAGAGAGGAGGAAAAAGAAGGGUGGUGAGAGAGAGGAUGACAUGUAGGAACCACAUGUCAGUGGGGCCCACAAUUAUUUUUGUGUGAAUGACAAUUGGGCUUCGCAUAUAUUUUUUAAUUUUAAUGCAGCAUAAGUGUCACGUCAACGCCACGUGGGACGAAGACCAAGUCAACACUGCCACGUGUGCGCUACAUCAGCAAAACCACUCUCCAAAACCACCAAAAGAGUCAAAUUGUACCGGUUUUGUAAGUUGGGGGUUCAAAAUUUCUAGUAUUGCGGUUGAGGGAUAUGAUUUAGAUUUGGUGGUCAGUUGAGGAAGUCAAAGUGAUCUUAUUCCAACCGUAAUACUCUACAUCCUUCCUAUAAAAUAAGAUUAACGAGAUUAUUUUUAUCUAUCAGUAUCGGCAAGUACUAUAAGCAUCUAAGCACGAGCCCACGAGCUCCUAGAUAACACAUAAGCUUAAAUGAUAAGGUAGAGAAGAGAAAAGAGGAGAGAGAGGAUGAACGACCCCUCAUGUAAAAAGCAACCUUUUCACAAUGUCCCCUAGUAAAUUAGUUGAUGAUAUGGAUAAUAUUAGAUGUGACUAUAAAACUUGUCAUCUAAUAUCAACUAUUCUUUCUCGUUUUCCGCACGCAGGUUUCCCAAAAUGCUAAAUAGUUUAUUUUUUGUAAAAAUUUUCUAUAGCAAAGUUGCUUUAAAAACAUAUUAAUCUAUUUUUUAAAAAAUAUAGCUAAUACUUAAUUAAUUAUGUGCUAAUAAGUCGCUCUGUGUUUUGCAUGCGCAAGAGAUUAGUUCCCAACUCAAUGUAUCGAACAUGCACAGCCUUAGGCACAACCGAACUACAUUUGAUAAGUAGUUAUGCUUAUGCACCUAUAACUCCACUCUGCGUCUCCACCAACAUAUCGACGGUGGUUUCAAUAUUUGAUGCCUAGCUUGAUCACUGCAGGGAGAUAUCAAACCAUAAGAUAUAGAAAAUCACUACACCACAUCAGUGCCGGUUAGGAACCCCACAUAGUUACCGAUUUUCUCAACCAGCACCAUAGAAGCGGCACAUAUAUGAAUAUUGGUUAGAGUAUAUGGUAGUUAGAGUCAUAUUAGAAUAUAAUUGAUAUGUGUGAAUUCCUUCCUAUUUGUAAUCCUUCCUUACACUACCGAAGAAACCUUUUGUAGUCCCGAUUGGUAACCCCCUGUAGUCCCGGUUUUAUAACUGGGACUAUGAAUCCGGACCAGUUGAAAUAACCGGAUCUUUAGUCUCGGUUGGUGUUACUUUUUUUCUCUUUUUUUUUUCAUUGUUGUUUUGUUGUUUAUAUCUCGAGCACAAUCACACAAAAAUCACACACAUAAAUCAUCCAAGAAAACCAUUCACAAAUCAUACACAAUCAUCCACUAUACAUGCCCUUCCGCAAUCCACCAAUCAUCCCCAAAUCAACAAACAAAUCUACACAUCAAUUCACAAAAUAAAAAAAAAAGCUCCUUAGUGUCAGGAGCCAAGAUCUGAACUCGCUCCUAACAAUUGAACUUACCCGGCCUCACACUUAGGGAGGCCAGUCACCGCCGGCCUCAUCCAGCGUGGGCCGCCGCCGCCACCGCCCGGCCACCUGCCACGCAGCCAGCUCGCUCAGCCGCCGCCGCCCGACCGGCUGCCACAUGGCCGCCGCCACCCGUCCGCUGCACAGCCGCCUGCCGCGCGGCCGGCUCGCUCCGCCGCCGCCGCCCGGCCGCCGCGGAGAGGGGAAGGAGGAGGAGGAGGCGGGGAGGGGGAUCAGAGGAGAGGGGAAGGUGGAAGAAGGGGAAAGGAAGGGGAAGAGGCCUCUCUGAUCGAUCGAUCUGUUCGGGAUACCGAGUCUUAAUGAAGGAGAGAACGAAAGGGGAGGGGAUACCGAGAAGAUAAGAUCGGCACGCGACUCGGCUGUUUAUUUUUGUCCCGGUUGAUAUAAACAACCGGUAUUAAAAAUAGAUCUUUAGUCCCGGUUGUUUAUACCAAUCGUCCCGGUUGUUUAUACCAAUCAGGACUAAAAGAUAAUUGGGGCCUGACUCAGACCCGCCAACUUCUUUGAACUAAGACUAAAAAUAAUCUUUAAUAAUUUUUAGUCCCGAUUCCUAUUCAAACUAGGACUAUUAUGUUUUUGGACGACCGACGAAAGAUGGUAACGUGUCUAAUAUUCGCAGUAUAUCUCUCGUCUACUAUCAAUAUGGUAUCCAAGCGGGUGAUGUAGGGUCGCCGCCGCUCGCGCUUCUGCUCGUCGCCCCGGGGAGCAUUUCGAUCUCACGGGGGCGGGCACCAUUUUUUGUUUUCCUUUUUUUUUUGGGUUCGUCGUCAUGGUGGUUGCCCGUGAGGGAUCGAUCUCGAUCUUCUCCAGUGACCCUCGUCGGCGUCAUGGUGGUUUGAGUCAAGCAUCAGCCGCAGUAACGCAUGGAUCUACCGGUCGUCGCGUCGCGAGUUCUCGUCAUCGAGCCAUCCCCGCCGCCGCCGGGUGGACGGUCGCUUCUUCCUCACCGCGUCGAGGUGCACGGCCGGCGUCGCCGAGCCCCGACCGCCCCCGGCCUGGCGCGCUCUGCCGGCACCACCCCGUCGACCUCUCCACCCGGCCGCCGGACUCCUUCCGCACCGCCUCCGUCUUGCUGCGCCGACGCCCUCCGUCAGCAUCUCUGGCUGGACAGUCGUUGGCCGAGCGCCCUGUGACCACUUUCUGCAGUGCCUCCUUUUGACCCUGUUGACUAGCCAUCGUCUCUGCUGUGAUCUCGUGCGUUGCUGCCAAGUGAGAGGAGAGAGACUGAUUGGUGUGGAGAUAUCUAGGCUUGUUGACUUCGUUGACGUCAUGGUGACCAGACCUGCAUGAGUUGCGUUGGAGGGCUGUGGUGUGGUGUGGACUGCUGCUACUGUGUUGUUGCUUGUAUCUUUCUUCUUUCUCCCGACCAGAGAUCAGGUUUGUGUCGCCUACCGCCUCGUUAACAUCUACGUGUCUCCGACAUCGGCAUCAACUUCGGCUUCGACUUCAUUGUUCCGUUGUGUGCAACUUCGGUCUGAUCACCUGAUCAAGCACACAUACAUGAUGACUUCUGCAACUGAUCGUCUGCGAGCAUAUCUACUACGCCAUCAAGCUUUGGGUUGCCGCUGCGUCGCCCUCUCGGGCCGCAGUGUUGCCGCCUGUGGUCCACGGAGAGACGUCCUCCUCACUGUGGCCUCACCGCCGCUGGAUUUCACGUCGCUGCAUCAACAUGGAGCUACACCUGUAUCACCCCUUCGGGUCAUAGUGUCGCCCGUCUCGUCGUCUUCAUCGUCGUUCGUGCAUCGACAACCUCGUCAUCCGCACUGGUCAUCGUCAGCCACUCGAGUCUUCUUUGUCUACUUCGAGCAUCGCCGCCGUGUCUCCAAGCUGCCACUGUCGCCGUUCUAGGCCAGUGGUCUAGCUACCUCUACAUAGCUACCGAUGUCGCUGUCCAGGCCGUUGGUCCUACUUUGCCUUCUUCUUCGUCCAGCAUGUUUCAUCGCCAGCGUCGUCGUAUCUUUCUUGACUACACUUCGCUCUUCUUCAGCAACUGCGCGCUGCUCCGGAAUUCUCCCUCUACGUCAUUCUCACGCCACGACUGUCCCGGAGGCAUUAUUUGCUAGUCUCCUCCGACAUUUGCGUAUGAUUCACGGUGGUCCCUUGCCUUGCCGGCACGAUAUUGGCAACACUGUUGCGCGUGUUUGUCCCGAGUUGUUCCCGAGUCUGGCAAACCCGGCGUGACAUCUCUUCUUUACAGUUCGACUACAUCGGCUCUUUGGCAUCAUCUUCCUCAAUGACUGCCGCGAUCGGGUCACCGUCAUCGUCUCCAGUGCAUCCUCACGCACCUUGGUCCAUGACGCCCUCCUGUGCGUCCACGACCACUCUACGGCGCCCCAUGCGCGCUCUGCGGCUUGGGUACCUCGACAUCAGCUUCCCGACUUCGGCUACAUCGACCAUGGCUACUUUACGCACGGCUUCGUCGCCCACGGGUCCUUCGCAUCCUUCGCUUUGGCUACAUCGACAUGGCACAAAGGGCAAUCAUUCGUCUUGAGCACUCUUGCUGGUUUCUUCUCCAAUCCAAGUGUCCGCUUUGCUCACGCAUGGACUACGGGGGGAUGUUAGAGUAUAUGGUAGUUAGAGUCAUAUUAGGAUAGGAUUGAUAUGUGUGGAUUCCUUCCUUAUCUCCUCCCCUUGUACUCCUAUAUAUACCGGCCCCCUGAGGCUCAAUACAACGUGUCUAAUAUUCACAGUAUAUCUCUCUCUUCUACUAUCCAACAAUAUUCAAAUGUGCCGGUUUAGGAACCGGCACCUUUUUGGUCCCAAGAAUCCAAAAAAAAGGGGGGGGGGGUCUCGAUGCAUCGAGCCGUUCCCCAUCACCUCGAGACCCCAUCGAUCCAAAGCAAAUCACAGAAGUUUCACACACUGUCACCAUCGAUCCAUCCAAGACAUAUCCCUCAAAGCACCAUCUUUGAUCCAUCCAAUGAUAGAUCCCUCAAAGCACAAAUCAUAAAAGUUUCACACAAAUCACAUGUGAAAGAAGCUCAAAUCACAGAUCCCUCAACAAUUUCAUAGAAACAAAAUCAAAUUUAUAGUACAAAUCACCGUUGCCGAUACGUCGCCGGAUUCGUCGCGGGAGCCGCCGCCGCCACCGCUCCACCCGCGGGAGAAACCUCCGCCGCCGACGCCGACCCCGGAUGCGGCCCCGGCUACCGUUGAGGCUAGAUCCGUCGUGGGAGCCGCCACCGCCGCCACCACUCCGUCCUUGGGAGAAGCCUCUGCCGCCGACGCCGACCUCGACUGCGGCUCCACCCGCCGUUGCCACCCCGGCCGCCGUCGAGGCCGCCUCGCCCACCGCCGCAUCUGUCGUGGGAGAGAAGCCACCACCGCCGACACCGUAUGUGGGGAGAAGGAGGAGGGGGCGAGAGCGAGCGAGCGAGAGAGUGAGAGAGAGAGGGGCAAGAGAGAGAUCGAGAAGCGAGCGAACCUCUUAUCCCCUCGGCCUUAUCUCGUCGUGGUGGGGCCUGCCGGCUCGGCUCGAUUUCUGUGGGUGUCAGCUUUUAAUUAACCGAUAUCUAUAAUAUAUUAAAGGUACCAUUUUUUUUAAAAAAAAGGGGGCACCUAUAGAAUAGGUGUCGGUUCUUAUUUAGAACCGGUACCUAUAAUUGCUUAAAGGUAUCGUUUUUUUUUGCGAUUUCAACCUGCGAAAGUGGAAAAAGACCUAUAGGUACCGGUUUUAGCACUUCCGGCACCUAUAGUACCGAUAUCUAUUUGAUGUUUUGUAGUAGUGAAUUUACAUUGCAAAAUAUAGUAGAGUACUUGUUUAGACUGCAGCAGCUACAUUACACGGUAAAAAAUGUGUAGCUCCGGCUGUGCAGCGCAGCCGGCUACAUCUGUAAUGCAGCAUUACCAAACAGAACCAGUACCACUAUUUUCUUCCGUAUAGUAAUAAAAAGGACAUUCUGUGUUACUAUCUUGCUAGCUAAACCCCAGAGGCGGAGCCAAUGCCUCGCCCAACAAACUAGCUUAUGUUUUAUACCAACCCACUAAUCACAUAAUUAUUUAAAUUAUACAGUGUAUUAGAUCAGCUCCAAUACCAAACAUUAGCAUAUGCAUGGCCAGUCGUCUUUGGCCAUGGUGUUUCAGCUGGCUGCUUGGCUUUGGAUGCAACACCACAAAUCCUUCCAGAUGUGUUUUGAUUAUUGCUCCAAUUUUGAUUGAUCAUUGUUACUCUCUCAGUGCUAGAUCUACUUCUGCGGCGUUGUACAUAUUUCUAUCUUCACUUGAGCAUUAGAAUCCUGCCUUGCUUGCUUGACCCAGUUCACCACGGAUCUGCGUGCUGCAUAGUUGCAGUGCACCCAGGAGGCAGGAGCCGAUGAUACUGAUAGCCAGUUUCUUCAUGAGCAUGUUAUGGUCAGUAUCUAUUGCUUAGAAUUUUGCAGGGUGAUGUCUUACUGAAUUUGUUAUCUUUAUAUUUAUGAUAUAGUUGGUAACUCUAGUAAAAUUAUCAGUAUAUUUAUGAUAUACUCCCUCAUUCCUUAAAUGUUUGACACCGUUGACUUUUUAAAAUAUGUUUGACCGUUCGUUUUAUUCAAAAACUUUUGCGAUAUGUGUAAAAUUAUAUGUAUACAUAAAAGUAUAUUUAACAAUAAAUCAAAUGAUAGAAAAAGAAUUAACAAUUACUUAAAUUUUUUGAAUAAGACGAACGGUCAAACAUUUUUAAAAAAGUCAACGGCGUCAAAUAUUUUGGGAUGGAGGUAGUAGUUGAUAACCAUAAGGCUAAAUUGACUUUGCUAAAAAUAUGUAUUUUUCUCUCCCUAUUUUAUACCACCAUUUGCGAAAUAUUGUGGGGGUGUGUUUUUAUUUUGUAUGUUCCACUAGGUAAACCAUCACUACUACAUAACACGUUUUUGCAUACGGGUGAAACUGAUUUUUGCAUGCGGUUGCUGCAGCCACAUGCGUGAAAAGGUAUGUGAAAAUCGGUAUUUUUGCAUGCAGCUAGCACAACCAGCGGGCGCUUAAGCCGACCGCAUGUAAAAAGAAAAAAAUCACAAAAAUAUAAAAUUCCAAAAGAAAAACCCUAGCCCCACUGCCGCCCGAGCUCCCGUCAUCGCCGUCGCCACUGCCGCGCCUGACGCAUUGAUAGCCGGAACAUAGAAAAGCAGUACGUACUAACAUUUAGACCUAACAAUUUCUCCUAGCCUACAUAGAUCAAAGUAUAGACUUAGACAGUUUUCCGACUCUUAGCACAAACCAAAAUUUUCCUUCGUGCAAUGUACAACCUAGCUAUACCAAUUAAUAGUUUUCCAUUUUUUAUCGAAGGGUAGGUAGGUGCAACCAGUAAAGCACUAGGUUGCUUGUGGUUUAUAAUUUUCACAUUUCUCGUUUUCUUUUAAGUAGAUCAAUCGAUAUAUAUAUAUCAUCACACCACUACACAUAAAUACAUACAUGAUGGCAAGAUAUUGGCAUAUGGUUUCCAAUAAUUAAGACACCUCGACCUCGAUCGAUUCCGUUGCAAAAGAUAUGCUUACCCUCUCUUUCUUCGUGUUUUCCGGGGAACUUAAUGGAAUAAUGGAUGCCGUUUUGGGCAUGUAUCCGUUUUCUACUGGUACUACUUUCUAGAGGUGCAGGUAGGAUGCUUGCCUCAUUUUGUGCAAGAUGACCAAACAGUCCAUGUGAUUUGUGCUAUAUAUGAUUGUUUGAUGGCUUGACACACGGUAUGGAAAUUUGGAGUCAAGUAAACCAUCAAAGCUAAAUUGGUGGGAAACCACUAUCCUUCCAUAACAAACAAACCAUAUCUCUCUCUGGAUGAAGAAAAUCAAGUUUUUACAUAUGGUUGUGGAGCCGUAUAUAUAAAUCCUACUAAUUUUUACCAACAUCUAGUUUCGGGUGGAUGCCCUAACCAUUUAUGAAAAGAAAUUCGCGCACGGAUGCUCUACCACCCGUAUGGACCCUUGGUAUGUGGCGGAGCUUAUGACUGCCAACAAUAACCUAUUUUGGUUGCUACAAAAUAUGUUUUUCGUAGUUGUGCGUGAAAAGAAAUUCUAGCCGCCUAGGAAACCCUUCUUGGUAGUAGUGGACAUAUGAUUCCGUUGCAAAAGAUAAGCUUUGCCCUCUUUCUUCCUGUUUCCCGGGAAACUUCAGUGAGUACCCUUACCGUUUCUGGCAUGUGUACCUUCAAGGAGUACAGGUAGAUUGCCUGCCUCGUUCCGUGCUAGAUGACCCCAUGUGGUUUGUGUUCUCAGUUCUGAACUGUGGACGGCUUGAUCCAGCGUGUGGAAAAUUGGAGUCAAGUAAACCCGUCGUGACUGAAUUAUUCCAUGGUAAGAACUAGGGUAAAAUGGGGUCAUGUAGGGUUGGAUCACGGCAUUUUUUAUCCUAACCUAUAUUUUUCCUUUAAUUUAAAACCAUGUACAGAUAUAGUGUUAGAUUAGAUAACAUAUCACUCAUCCCGUAUCCUAUCUCAUAUUAUUUCCUCGGAAUCAGAUUCAUACACGGAAAUCUAUUUCUAUGUGCAAUUCAUGCAUAUUAAAUAUAGAUGGACAAUUAAAGUAUUAAAAGAGAUAAAUUAAGAAAAAAAUAUACAAUAUUACCUAUGAUCUUGUAAAAUAGUGAUUAAUCAAUAUUUUAUCAUGUUUGUAGCCUUGUAGGUGGACUUAUAAUAUAUUUCCAUAUGUGUUUAAUAACAUGGGAAAUACAAGCAUAUCUUUUCACGGAUUCGGAUUCUAAUUCGGAUAAUAUUGAAUAUCCAUUUUAUGUCCUGUAUUCUUCCUACGAGCCUCGAGUCACAUGGGCGGUUGGAAAAUGCCCAUCUCGUUUUUACCCCAGUAAGAACUAGGAAAAAGUUUGAAUUAACCCCUCUAAACUUUUGCCACCGUUAGAAAUUAAAUACACUCAUAAACUAUAUAAAAUAGAUAUUAUACACCCCAGAUAUUCUAACUCAAUCUAAAAAAAAAUAGUGGGCUCCAGUGGCACGUCUCCCUCCUCGCUUUCUUCCACUAAACGACUAAUGAUAUCAUGAAGUGCCUGUUCACUCUGAUGAAAAAAAAAACCUUAUCAAAUUUUGCUAAAAUUUUGGUAGGAUUUCUUAUAUAGUUACUAAAAUUUAGCAGCAAACUAAAUAUAGCCACUUUUUUUAGCAACUUUACUAAAAUUUGAUAAAAUAAAAAAUGACAUUAAAAUGAAUAGGCCCAAAAUGAAACGGCAGGAGUAGCAGCAGUCGUUUCAGCAUCAACCAUCGUAGAACAAUAUCAUUACAGCAAUAACGUCCCACUAACCAGUCCAGUAAAAAUUUACGCCGCAGUAAAUACUCCUACAGUACAAACCUCACCAGUAUAAAACGAGAAGCUAGCGAACCACCUGCAGGAGGCGCCAGGCGGGUUGCAAGCAAACACACAACCCACCCGUCGUUGGGUCAGCCACGUGCACCGCGACCGAGCCGGACCAGUUUGGUCUCGGACAGUCGGACCCGAGUCAAUCCUUCAGCCUCAGGUGCGGCGUCCGCCCGCCACGUGUCCUCGCCUCACCAAUCAUCACCCAUCCUUCUCUUCUCGGCCCCACCAACUCUGUCUCUCUCUCUCUCUCUCUCUCUCGCUGCUCGCGCAAAAACCCCAACUGCGUCGCCGUGCUCGCCGGCUCGCCGCCUCGGCCUCGCCGCGCGCUCUCUCGCCGCCGGUGUCUGGACGACGAGGAGGUGAGUCCGUACGCCUCGCCUCUGUGUUGUUCUUCGUGUUCGCUGCUUCGGUUCGUCGUGUUGUGAUGUGAUGGCGUGUUGGAUGAUGUGUGUAACAGCUAAUUUGGUGCGGGUUUUUUGGGCGUGGUGGUGGUGGUGGUGGUGGUGGGGUGAUUUGCAGGGCGGGUGGCGGCGGGGGAUGGAUCGCUGGGAGGCGUUGAUCGCCGCCGCCGCGCGGCGGAGCGAGCCGCCGAGAAGCGGGUGGGCGGAGUGGGGCGGGGGCGGCGACGCUCGCGCGGGCGCGGCCGCGCUUCCGUCUCGCUGUCCCCGUCGUCCCGUGGCUGCUGCGGGUGGGAGAGGCGAGGGGGGUGAUAGAAUGCGGGGGCGAGGCGGGGAGGAAGGGACGUGGACGGCUCAUGGUGGAGGCGGACGAGGUGCGGAGCGCGCGGGCGCGGUGGUGGCGCCGACGAGGACAGCGGACGCGGCGGGGACGGGGACGGGGAGGAACGCGGUGGCCGUCGGCGGUGGCGCGGCGGAGGAUGGUAGGAGAACGCCCUCUGUUUCUGUUCGUCACGUCCUCUGCUUGGGUUUCGUCGAAUGCCUGGGAUGCGUGACUGUUAAUUUGGUCCUCUUUGUGUGUUCAGUGGUGGUGAUUGUAUCAGGGCGGCGAUCGGUGGGCGAGCCGACGCUGGACGUCUCUGAGAUGCUGCUCCAGGCGGCGCAGGCAUGGAGAAGCCGGCGCACGCAGCGGGAAGCUCGCCCGGACGCGCUUCCACCUCGCCAUCCUCCUCGUCCCGUCGCCGCGGAUGGGCGCGGGGGCUCAGGCGAGGGGACCAGUAGAGCGCGGGGGCGCGGCGAGGAGGGGACGGCUCGUGGCGGAGAUGGCGAGAUGAUGGCGCUGGUGAGAACAGUGGAUGUGGCCGUGGCCGGUGGUUUGGCCACGCUCACGCACGGCGGCGAGCGGGAUGCUGGCGCGGCGGUGGCGACGGAGGAGAAGAGAAAUGGCGGCGAGGUGGGGACGAAGAGGGGGAUGGAGGAGCGGGCCGCGCGUUCGCCGCCGCCGCCCAAGCGGAGCGCGGUGUCCUCCGUUCGCCAGCUUCCUCCAGGUUGCGGAAGGGACGCCGCUCUUCCACUCGGGCGCCGCCACGGCCGCGGCCGCGAUGGCGACGGUGGUGUUCCUCCUCUCGCUGGCAACAGAACUGAUUUGCCGUUGGAAGCUGUGGUGGAUGGUGGUGAUCCAAUUGCAAAUGUGCAUCAAAUCUUCAGCAAAUCUUCGCAUGCUACGGAUGAGAAUCAGGUCGCUUGCAAAGUUGGUUCACUGGAGGAUGUUGUACAAGAAGGGGCAGCAAAUAGUGGUGAAUUGCUGGGGUGGAAGCAAGUGUUAGCUCAAGCCGCGAAUGUGCUUCCCAAGAGGAGGAUGGUAUCCGCGACGCGCCGCUUCCCUCCUGGAUGUGGGAGGGACGUUAAGACUGGUUCAGGUUUGGAAUUCAUGGCUGUUGAUGCUUCUUGUGGUGGUGUGUCAAAGGAGGUGGUGGCUUCGGAUGGCGGUGAUAGUUUGGUUAGCCAGGAAUUGGAGGAGGGUGAGGUGGCUGAUGAGGCAUACUCUGAUGUAGAUUCACAAAAUGUUGCUGUGGAUGAUUCCAUGGCUGCAGCUACUGAAGAUGUUAAGGUGAUGAACAAAUGCAAAGGGACCUUACCCAGAGCCGCUGCUGAACCUUGUGCUGAGGGUCCUUCCAAAGAACAUUUUAAGGGUACGAGGGAGUGUGAAAAUGAUAGGAUGGGAAAAUCAUCCAUGAAUGUUGCAACAGAAGUAUUUGGUGAUGGUAUGAUGAGAAGUAAGAUACUAUUGACAGCUAGAAAAGCAGUCAAGUCACCACUGAACACUCUGCAUAGAUGGCCCUUCUCUAAGGGAAAAGAGGAGUGUGCUGUAACAAAUAGUGCUCCAUUUGGUCCUAAGAAGAAGUUUAAGGUAAAAGGUGCAUAUCAAACUAAAGAUAUUCCUAUCAAGAUUGUCUCUACACCUGGAUUAGGGGGCAAGGACAACCUUGUCGACAAAGAGGCUUUGAUCUUGGAAGAUGAUGAUAUUUUGAAGGCACUAGCUGUUCAUGAUGGAAAACUUAAGUUGUAUCUCAAUGCUUCCUCAUCUGUUCAGCGUCACGGGCAACAUGGAAGUGGGAAUGCUAAUGAUAGGAGGAAAACCAUGAUGCUGUGCAGGAGGUUUCAGUUUAUACACAGGGCUCUUGUACAUGCUGUCAAACAGGGCUCGUUGAAGGUUCUAAGAGCUGACCUUGAAGCUGAUAAAAUCGUUCGGAAAUUGCCGGGCUUUAUCAAACCUGGACCUAUUGUGGGAAAUGUUCGUGGAGUCGAAGUCGGUGACGAAUUUCUAUACAGAGUUGAGCUAGCCCUUGUUGGUCUCCACCGUCCAUACCAGGGAGGAAUCGAUACCACCGAUCAUAAUGGAGUGCUUGUUGCAAUAAGCAUCGUUGCUUCUGGAGGUUAUCCCGAUAGAUUGUCAAGUUCAGGUGAACUCAUAUACACUGGUUCUGGAGGACAGCCUGCUGGUAAGAAGAAAGGUGAGGAUCAAAAGCUAGAGAGGGGAAAUCUUGCCUUGAAGAAUUGCAUCAAGACAAAGACACCUGUCCGAGUGAUUCAUGGAUUCAAAGGCCAAAAUGGCAAGGAUGACAGUUAUUCAAGGGCUAAACAAAUCUCAGCAUUUACUUAUGAUGGGUUGUAUCGUGUGGUGGAUUACUGGAGAGAAGGUCUAAAAGGUUCUAUGGUCUUCAAAUACAGACUACAAAGAAUUCAUGCUGGUCGAUGAGGUUGAUCAUCUAAAUCUUUUCUAGUAAGCUUAUUAUUUAGUCUUAACAAAUGAUUCAGGCAGUAAAUGGUACAAUGAGAUUCUUUUCUACACCAUGGAUACUUACGCCAAUCUAAACUCUCUUGCUUGUUAGGUACAGAAUCAAGAUGUAUUUUUUUUGUCCUGGGUGAUAUAAUUAGCUUAGAAGGACAAGAAGUUACAUGGGCCUGGUUGAAGGUAUGUUAUAGUUGCAGGGUAUCUAAAGGGGACAUUUUACUGUACCCCUAUUGGUUAUGGUAGUAGUGUAGUAGGAAGCAGAUCAUCUAAAGCUAUGGCUAUUUUAGUCAUGUACUUCGUUAAGGUGAAGGGGCAAUUUAGUCUUCCGAUUAUCCCAAUCGAAGCAAAACAGGACUCGUUGGUUUGUUAGAUCGGCCCAAGCCUCAUUCUGCAUCUCGACGCACGACGGCCAAACCACAGCGCCGUCCAUAUUUGUAUGCAUUUUCCAGAGGUAUCUUUGCGAUAACAACCAUGCAAUCUUAGAUAUAUUUGUGAAAAGAAAAAAGUGCAUGCAUUGGAAUAUAACCGUUUCUUGCCUUGUGCAAAAGCUACCACUUCUCCUUCAGUGUGUACUUGGAUCAUAGAAGGUGACACCUUCAAAAUGCACCAGACAAGAUGCCAGUAACAAGAACAUGAGUAUGUGGAUUGGAUUGUCAAUCACCAAAACCCCUGAAUUCAGCUGUGCACCACAGCUGCCGUGGGUUAGCUCGUAUAAGAGUGUGCCCAAAUAUGAAAAUCACACUCAUGAAAAUCAAAAUCAUUUCUAUUAACAAGAUGCAGUAAAAUCAUGACAACAUCCUGAAGAAAAUUUGGUUAGCUGAUAGAAGUCAUAGAACAAAAUGUAUUUCAAAAUAUAUUCCAUCACUGAUUUCAAUUUCAGGAGCCCAAUUUUUGUACUAACUAUUUAACUGUAGGAAAGCUUACUAUAAACCAAUGAAAAAAAGAAAGCAUUAUAUGAUGACUUGUCUGAAUUACAGAAUAUGUGGCGUAGUUGUCCACUUACAAAUGAAUUCAUCAACUAAUUGAUCUCAAGGUUAUUCCAGAUUGUAGAUAGGAGCACAUCUCAAGCUUCAAUUAAAAAUCCAUCCAAAAUACGAAUUGAAGGACAAAAGUGACCAGAAUUAGGAAUGCAUACUCUAAUACUCUAUUCUCAGGAGUCAGGACAGUUAGAUAACCUGCUGGCUGUUGUGCUGGUAGCCUUGGCAUUUUCACCUUCACGUGUCAAUAAAAAAGAGUAAAUAUGACUUUCGUGGAGAAUUGCUUGAGUACAGUGUACACUGGAUGGGAUCACCUAUACAUUUGUCGACAAAUUCUCUUCUAAAAAUUUGACAAAUGAAAUUAUAGGACAAUUGUGAUGUAGGCUGUGUUUAGUUUACACCAAAAUUGGAAGUUUGGUUGAAAUUGGAACGAUGUGACGAAAAAGUUAGAAGUUUGUGUGUGUAAAGUUUUGAUGUGAUAGAAAAGUUGGAAGUUUGAAGAAUUAUUUUGGAACUAAACACGGUGGUAAUUUCACUGUAACUAUUAUAACUUGUAUGUAACUUUUAAAAGUUUCUUCGUAGUAUACUAUUUCGGUGAAACGGAAGUCGUGGGAACGAAUCCUCUGACAUAUGUGUGUGUUAUUUUUUUCCUUCCUCACUUGCACAAAUCUUGAAACAAAUCUAACGGUCCAAAAUUAUGUGAAAGUUAUGUAUAAGUUAGACUGUAGUUACAUGCAAGUUACAGUAUAAUUACAUGUAAGUUACAUUAUAAUUACAUUACGAUUGUUCUGUAUUACAUCUGCCAAAUUUUUAGGAGAAAAUUUAUCGACAAAUGUAUAGCAAAAUUGUUUUGUAAUAUAUUGAUUAGAAAAUUCUCAAUCUCACUCUUCAUAGUAUGGUUUUGAAUCUCAAGGGUGAUGUUUUCCGGUGGCGAAAAUGGGCGUGAAGUGUCGCUCGAACUCCUGGAAGGGGUGAGAGUCGAAGCACUAGAACACAUGCGCAAGUACACGGAAGGCACUUCGGCAACCUAUAACAAGAAGGUUCGACCGAUAGAACUCCGGCCCGGCCAUCUCGUACUAUCCUAACCUAUAUUUUUCCUUCAAAUUUAAAAUCGGGUAUAGGUAGUGCCGGAUCGGAUAACAUGUCACUUGUGCCGUAUCACAUUCCAUAUUAAUUUCUCGAAAUCGGAUACAUGAAAGAAUUUCUAUGUGCAAUUCAUGCAUAUUAAAUAUAGAGGGGCAAUUAAAGUACCAAAAGAGAUAAAGCAAGAAAACAUUUAUGUAAUAUUACCUAUGAUAUUAUAAACUAGUGUAAUCAAUAUUUUAUCAUGUUUGUAGGUGAACUUAUAACAGAUUUUCAUAUAUGUAUAAUAAUAAUAUGGGAAUACGAGUGGACACAACUUUUCCCUUAUUAAAACAUAUCUUUUACGAAUUUGGAUUCGAACUUGGAUAGUAUCGAAUAUCCAUUUUCUCUCCCAUGUUCUUGUGAGCCUCAGGCCAGGCAGGUGGUCGGAAAAUGCCCGUCCCAUUUUCGCCCGUAGUAAGAACUAGAAAAAAAAAUCUGAAUUUACCCCUGAACUAUUGACACCAUCCGAGUAACCCCAUAAAUUACAAAACCAGACAUAUCUACGCCCCUAAACUUUUCAAACCAGACAACAAAACCCCUAACUCAAUCCGAAGCGGUUUGGAUUUUAGGUGACAUACAUGUGUUAGUCCAAACAACAAAAAGUAAUAAAAAAAUAGUGGGCUCGGUCAGUCUCCCUCCUCGCUUUCGUCCACUUCCAUCUCUCUCUCUCUACCCCCAAGUCCUAACAGAAAGGAGGGAGGUGGCGGAAGCUCAGCUGCCGGAGGAAGACCGUGGCAAAGGAGGCGUCCUCGGGCAUCGAGGUGCAUCAUGACCUCCCGUGGAGGCGGCGGAGGCGCUAGCUAGCACAGAGCACUUGACGACUUUGGUCUUGCAUCGAUGCCUCGACGCACGCGCGACUGCUUCUAGGAUAGAUGGUGAUGUGCUCGAAAAUGGCUCACCAAAGCCAUGAUCUUGAUCACUUGGUGGAUCUGGAAGGAGCACAUUGUGCGUAUCUUCGGCAGAGUUCAGCGCCAUGGUGUUGCAGACCUAGUCUAGUGUGUGGCGGUAGCUAUUAGCGGUUUAAGAACCUUGAGGCGGUCUUGCUUUAAGCGGUAUGAGAUGGUCUUACCUUGGCAAAACUAGUUUCCUGAGAUUUUAUAUUCUAAAAUCCUUUUAAAAUCUAACAAAAUUUAGACGGCGUCCUUCGACCGCUCAGUGAAAAAAACUAAAAAUUAUGGUCGAAGUUUUAGAAUUGGACCAAAAUUAUCUAAAACAUAACCAAGUGAGUACAAAAUCUAUUAGGAAAACAAGAGGAGUGUUACUAUCCCUAAAUAGUAUGGUCUCCGUUUCAUAUUAUAAGUUGUUUUUAUUUUUUUUCUAGUCAAACACUUUUGGUUUGAUCAACUUUAUAGAAAAAUAUAGUAACAUCUGCAACACUAAUUUAGUUUAACUAAAUAUAAUAUUAAAUAUAUUUUGGUAAUAUGUUUGUCUUGCGUAAACUGGAUCAAACUUAAACGACUAAGAGCAGGUACAAUAACAGACUAUAAGCCAGCUAUAAAUAUAUUUUAAGGAGAUAAAAGAGGAAAGAUAAGAGCAGCGGGCUACAGAUUUAUAGCUAGCUACAACACAGACUCCAAGACACAUGUGUGUAUGAUAGAUGAGACCAUAUAUUGAUUGUGUAGUAUAUGUUUAUAUGUACUUCCUCCGUUUCAGGUUAUAAGAUAUUUUGAUUUUGGCCAAAGUCAAAUAGCUUUAAGUUUAACCAAAUUUGUAGAAAAAGGUAGUAACAUUUUUAACACAAGACAAAUUUAUUAUGAAAAUAUAUUCAAUUAUUGAUUUGAUGAAACUAAUUUAAUAUUAUAAAUAUUAUUAUAUUUUCUAUAAACUUAAUGAAACUUAAAAUAAUUUGACUUUAACCAAAGUUAAAACGUUUUAUAAUCUAAAACGGAGGGAUUAACUAUUGUAUAAAUUGGCUAUUAAGUUAAUUAUUAAUGAUUUAGAGCCAAUAGUUUACUAUACCAUUAAACUUGCACUAAUGAUAUCAUGAAAUGAAACGGCGGGAGUAGCAGCAGCCGUUUCAGCAGCUACCAUCGUAGAACAGCAUCAUUGCCACAAUAAUGCCCACUACCAGUCUACUAAUUUACGCCGCAGUAAAUACUCCUACUCCAAUGCAAACCUCACCGGUACUAUAUAAAACGAGAAGGCGCCAGGCGGGUUGCAAGCAAACACACGACCCACCCGUCGUUGGGUCAGCCACGUGCACCGCGACCGAGCCGGACCAGUUUGGUCUCGGACAGUCGGACCCGAGUCAACCUUCAGCCUCUGGUGCGGCGUCCGCCCGCCACGUGUCCUCGCCUCACCAAUCAUCACCCAUCCUUCUCUUCUCGGCCCCACCAACUCUCUCUCUCUCUCUCUCUCUCGCUGCUCGCGCAAAAACCCCAACUGCGUCGCCGUGCUCGCCGCCUCGCCGCCUCGGCCUCGCCGCGCGCUCUCUCGCCGCCGGUGUCUGGACGACGAGGAGGUGAGUCCGUACGCCUCGCCUCUGUGUUGUUCUUCGUGUUCGCUGCUUCGGUUCGUCGUGUUGUGAUGUGAUGGCGUGUUGGAUGAUGUGUGUAACGGCUAAUUUGGUGCGGGUUUUUUGGGCUUGGUGGUGGUGGUGGUGGUGAUUUGCAGGGCGGGUGGCGGCGGGGGAUGGAUCGCUGGGAGGCGUUGAUCGCCGCCGCCGCGCGGCGGAGCGAGCCGCCGAGAAGCGGGUGGGCGGAGUGGGGCGGGGGCGGGGGCGGCGACGCUCGCGCGACGGCGAUUCCGUCUCGCUGUCCUCCUCGUCCUCGUCCCGUGGCUGCGGGUGGGCGAGGCGGGGGGGGGGGGGGGGCGGUAGAAUGCGGGGGCGAGGUGGGGAGGAGGGGACGUGGAAGAGUCAUGGUGGAGGGGGACGAGGUGCGGAGCGCGCGGGCGCGGUGGUGGCGCCGCCGAGGGCAGCGGACGCGGCGGGGACGGGGACGGGGACGGGGAGGAACGCGGUGGCCGUCAACGGUGGUGCGGCGGAGGAUGGUAGGAGGACGCCUCUGUUUCUGUUCGUCACCUCCUCUGCUUGGGUUUCGUCGAAUGCCUGGGAUGCGUGACUGUUAAUUUGGUCCUCUUUGUGUUCAGUGGUGGUGAUUGCAUCAGGGCGGCGAUCGGUGGGCGAGCCGACGCUGGACGUCUCGGAGAUGCUGCUCCAGGCGGCGGAGACAUGGAGAAGCCGGCGCACGCAGCGCGAAGCCCGCCCGGACGCGCUUCCACCUCGUCCCGUCGCCGCGGAUGGGCGAGGCGGCUCAGGCGAGGGGACCAGUAGAGCGCGGGGGCGCGGCGAGGAGGGGAUGACUCAAGUGGCCGUGGCCGGUGGUUUGGCCACGCUCACGCACGGCGGCGAGCGGGAUCCUGGCGCGGCGGUGGCGACGGAGGAGAAGAGAAAUGGCGGCGAGGUGGGGACGAAGAAGGGGUUGGAGGAGCGGGCCGCGCGUUCGCCGCCGCCGCUGCCGCCGCCCAAGCGGAGGGCGGUGUCGGCCGUUCGCCAGUUUCCUCCAGGUUGCGGAAGGGACGCCGCUGUUCCACUCGGGCGCCGCCACGGCCGCGGCCGCAAUGCCGACGGUGGUGUUCGUCCGUUGGAUCAGGCGACUGCUCCUCCUCUCGCUGGCAGCAAAACUGAUUUGCCGUUGGAAGCUGUGGUGGAUGGUGGUGAUCCAAUUGCAAAUGUGCAUCAAAUCUUCACAUGCUUCGGAUGAGAAUCAGGUCGCUCACAAACUUGGUUCACUGAAAAACGGUGUACAAGAAGGGGCAGCAAAUAGUGGUGAAUUGCUGGGGAGGAAGCAAGUGAUGGCUCAAGCCGCGAAUGUGCUUCCAAAGAGGAGGAUGGUACCCGUGACGCGCUGCUUCCCUCCUGGAUGUGGGAGGGACGUUAAGACUGGUUCAGGUUUGGAAUUCAUGGCUGUUGAUGCUUCUUGUGGUGGUGUGUCAAAGGAGGUGGUGGCUUCGGAUGGCGGUGAUAGUUUGGUUAGCCAGGAAUUGGAGGAGGGUGAGGUGGCUGAGGAGGCAUACUCUGAUGUAGAUUCACAAAAUGUUGCUGUGGAUGAUUCCAUGGCUGCAGCUACUGAAGAUGUUAAGGUGAUGAACAAAUGCAAAGGGACCUUACCCAGAGCCGCUGCUGAACCUUGUGCUGAGGGUCCUUCCAAAGAACAUUUUAAGGGUACGAGGGAGUGUGAAAAUGAUAGGAUGGGAAAAUCAUCCAUGAAUGUUGCAACAGAAGUAUUUGGUGAUUGUAUGAUGAGAAGUAAGAUACCAUUGAUAGCUAGAAAAGCAGUCAAGUCACCACUGAACAUUCUGCAUAGACGUCCCUUCUCUAAGGGAAAAGAGGAGUGUGUUGUAACAAAUAGUGCUCCAUGUGGUCCUAAGAAGAAGUUGAAGGUAAAAGGUGCAUAUCAAACUAAAGAUAUUCCUAUCAAGAUUGUCUCUACACCUGGAUUAGGGGGCAAGGACAACCUUGUCGACAAAGAGGCUUUGAUCUUGGAAGAUGAUGAUAUUUUGAAGGCACUAGCUGUUCAUGAUGGAACACUUAAGUUGUAUCUCAAUGCUUCCUCAUCUGUGCAGCAUCACGGGCAACAUGGAAGUGGGAAUGCUGAUGAUAGGAGGAAAACCAUGAUGCUGUGCAGGAGGUUUCAGUUUAUACGCCAGGCUCUUGUACAAGCUGUCAAACAGGGCUCGUUGAAGGUUCUAAGAGCUGACCUUGAAGCUGAUAAAAUCGUUCGGAAAUUGCCGAGCUUUAUCAAACCUGGACCUAUUGUGGGAAAUGUUCGUGUUGUCGAAGUUGGUGACGAAUUUCUAUACAGAGUUUAGCUAGCCCUUGUUGGUCUCCACCGUCCAUACCAGGGAGGAAUCGAUACCGCCGAUCAUAAUGGAGUGCUUGUUGCUAUAAGCAUCGUUGCUUCUGGAGGUUAUCCUGAUAGAUUGUCAAGUUCAGGUGAACUAAUAUACACUGGUUCUGGAGGACAGCCUACUGGUAAGAAGAAAAGUGAGGAUCAAAAGCUAGAGAGGGGAAAUCUUGCCUUGAAGAAUUGCAUCAAGACAAAGACACCUGUCCGAGUGAUCCAUGGAUUCAAAGGUCAAAAUGGCAAGGAUGACAGUUAUUCAAGGGCUAAACAAAUCUCAGCAUUUACUUAUGACGGGUUGUAUCAUGUGGUGGAUUACUGGAGAGAAGGUCUAAAAGGUUCUAUGGUCUUCAAAUACAGACUACAAAGAAUUCAUGCUUAUAGAUGAGGUCGAUCGUCUAAAUCUUUUCUAGUUUGCUUAUUGUUAAGUCUUAACAAAUGAUUCAGACGGUAAAUGGUAGAAUGAUAUUCUUUUCUACACCAUGGAUGCUUACGCCAAUCUAAACUCUCUUGCUUGUUAGGUACAGAAUCAAGAUGUAUUUUUUGUCCUGGGUGGUAUAAUUAGCUUAGAAGGACGAGAAGUGGCAUGGGCCUGGUUGAAGGUAUGUUAUAGUUGUGGGGUAAUCUAAAGGGGACAUUUUACUGUACCCCUACUUGUUAUGGUAGUAGUGUAGUUGGAAGCAGAUCUUAGUCCUUUACUUCGUUAUAAGGUGGAGGGGCAAUUUAGUCUGUUCCGAUUAUCCCAAUCGAAGCAAAACAAGCCUUGUUGGUUUGUUAGAUCAGCCCAAGCCUCAUUCUACCUCUCGACGCACGAUGGCCACGCCACAGCGCGUCCAUAUUUUUAUGCAUUUUUCAGAGAUACCUUUGGGAUAACAACCAUGUAAUGUUAGAUACAUUUGUAAAAAAAAGAAGUGCAUGCAUUGGAAUAUAACCGUUUCUUGCCUUGUGCAAAAGUUACCACUUUUUCCUGCAGUGUGAUUGGAUCAUAGAAUGUGACACAUUCAAAAUGCACCAGUUUUGUUUGUAGCAGUAUUCAGAUCAAUCAUGGAUCGCUGAUACGUGAGAUCAAGCAAAUAGACAAGAUGCCAGUAACAAGAACAUGAUAUGGAUUGGAUUGUCAAUCACCACAACCCCUGAAUUCAGCUGUGCACCACAGCUGCCGUGGGUUAGCCCGUAUAAGAGUGUGCCCAAAUAACAACAGCAAGCCAAUACAACUAAUUUUGGUAAAUAACCUAAUCAAAUAACUAUAGGCCUAAAACAGGUCCACCCACACUCCCACAGGAUGUCAGGAUUAUCAUGUGUUUUAGCAAUUUAUCUUCCAGGGACUGAAUUGGCACAAAACUGAACAAGAACAAAACAUAUAGGAUGUGAGAAUUAACAUGUGUUCUGUACUUCAUUUUUCAAGGACAGAACAAGUGCAAUAAUAAAUAAGAACACCAUUUUUUCUUCUAGCUUGAUGACUGAUAAUUCUCAAAGGCAAUGCAUUUUUAUCUUCAUGAUGAUAAACCAACUGUUUCAUUUGAAAAGUGACAAAUAAAUUGCUUUCAGCUUCAUGAACUCUUCUGGUCUUCCUCCAUAUCACCUUCACCAUACAUUAAAUAAAAUUAGAGUGGACAAACUGCUAAUCCAAAAGUACUGUAUAUACAAGAUCCUCAAGGUCAAGUCACACUCCUGAAAGUAAAAAUCAUUUCUGUUAACAAGAUGCAGUAAAAUCAUGGCAACAUCCUGAAGAAAACUUGGCUAGCUGAUAGAAGUCAUUGAACAAAAUGUAUUUCAAAAUAUAUUCCAUCACUGAUUUCAAUUUCAGCAGCCCAAUAUUUUUACUAACUAUUUAACUGCAGGAAAGCGUACUAUAAACCACUGAAAAAGGAAAGCAUUAUAUGAUGACUUAUCUGAAUUACAGAAUAUGUGGCGUAGUUGUCCACUUACAAAUGAAUUCAUCAACUAAUUGAUGAAAAAUCCAUCCAAAAUACGAAUUAGGACAAAAUUGACCAGAAUUAGCGGACAUCGAGGACAAAUAAUAAAAAGGAAUGCAUACUCUACUCUCAGGAGUUAGGAUAGUUAGAUAACCUGCUGGCUGUUGUGCUGGUAACGUUGGCAUUUUCACCUUCAUGUAGGAUCGAAUAGAAAGAACUAAGCCAACCAAAGAGAGUGAGUAAAUGGUUAGUAUACCUAAAAACCCAAACUUUUUGCGGAAUUAAAAGUUACUCUCAAAUCGAUGUAGAUCGGUCUGACCGAAGUUGAUCCGCCGGUCUAACCGGUGUAGAUCUCCCAGUUGGACCGCCCUGAAAUCGCCUCUGUCUCCUGAAGCCGUCGCCGGUCUGACCGCCGUAUACCCGCCAGUUUGACCGCCGCGAUGCCACCGGUCUGACCGCCGGUGUCUCGCCGGUUAGACCGCCGAACCUGAGCAAACACAAAUCAAAGAAUUCUCGAAGUAGAUGACAACUUUAUUACUUCUCUCUGUGUUUACAAAGUGCAACAACAGCACUCCUCACGAAAAUCUUGGCUAAAUUCGAAACCCUAACUCAACUCUCAACUCAAUGCUCUUAAAAGCGAUACCGGGAAGCCUCACGCUCCCUCUCUAUUUAUACAUGAAGUAGGCAGCCUAAAGCCACUAAUCAAACUCAUACUAGAAGUCCUAAUCCACCUAACCUUCCCGUACAAGAAACAAACUUUACAAACUCCAAUCAUACCAAAUUUGGACUCCUUCAAAAUUCAACUCCGUAUCCCAUACGCACACAAUAUCUCCAUUGUAUGCCAUAUGGAAUCUUCACCAACCAUGUGUAUUGAUCUUUAGCCUAAGUAUUCCACAUGAUAUCUGACUGUCCGGACGUCAUCUUAUCUCCAAGUCGACUCCCGAUCCAUCACCGGCAAUACUCUCCUGAGGCAUCAAGUCACCUACACAUGAAUCAAACAAAGAAACCAUAUUCCAAUACCAAGCUAUCUCCAAUUUGACUCAUUGUUAGCAAACAACAGUAUUACAUACGCAUAGUAUCCAUCUAGAAGCCAUAAACAAGAAACAAUCACGGAUAUCCAAACAAACAACCUGAAACCGAAGCCGACACAGAGUCGGCCGGUCAGACCGCGGGCUGGCUGGUCUGACCGGCAACCACUGCCCGGUCUGACCGGACCAACUAUCCAGCAGCACCUGUAAAUCCAAUCAUCUCCAAAACCACUUUGCCAAUAAUCUCCAAAUAUCAAAACCGAUAAUCACAGAUGCCAAUUGUUCAUCACAGAAUAAAGAAUCAAAAACACUUUGAUUUUACACUUCACAUGUUAAUAAAUAAGAAUAAAUGUGAAUUCCGUGGAGAAUUGCUUGAGUACAGCGUAUACUGAAUGAAGUAAAAUACAUGAGUUAACUUUGUAACCCCCCCCCCCCUCCCCCCCUCUUCUCCUCCCACGCCCAUUUUCUGUCGAAGUAAAUCCACCAGUGGAUGUACUGUAACCUCCACAAUUCUAAGCACAGAAUUAUGCCACCACGGGUCCAAAGGUAUGAUGCAAUUUUAGAAAUUUAAUGUGGCGCAGAAUACAAUAGGUCUAUCCAAAAUCUGUAUAGAGGAGGGCUCAUAAGCAGAUACAUGUUAGGAUAGGGAAUUACAAUGUAUGUUGUCAUCAGAAUGCAUCAGCAUGGUAACUAUAUUAUCUACCAUCCCCAAAGUAGCAAACAUUUAUAGGGAUGAUAACACGGAUACAGUCUGGAUAGUUCAACUUUGUGUAAUAUCUUGGUUAGAAUAUUCUCAAUCUCACUCUUCGUAGUGUGGUUUUGAAUCCGAUUCCCUCAGGUGAAGUUUCAAUUAAUCAGUCAAUAAGAGUAGUAUAUUUGAUUAUUGGCUUUCACACACAUCAAACAAAUCAACAAUAAUAGAGUGGCACAUCAAAUAAAUCUUGUAGAAGAACAGAAGAUUGAGGGCUUCGAAGUGUUGUGAGGGCUUCGAAGUUCAAUCAUUCCACCAAAUGCCAAUACAUAUUAAGUGUCCAUAUCAAUAUGAAUAAAUUAUUUAGAAUUUACACAUAGCUAUGUCAAAUCAAAUUUGUUAAAGUUCAUGAUUUGAAUUUGAAAAAUACAUGGUAUAGCUCUGUGUAAAUUUCAAAUAAUUCACUCAUAUUAUUUAGGAGAAGAACACACCCUUAGCUGGUAGAUCCUAGCUUUGUUCCCUCCCUGUUCACCUUAUAGGAUCGAACACAAAAAAACCAAGCCUACCAGAGAGGGAUGAAUGGUACGAAUAUCAAGAACAAAAACUUUUAGCGGAAACAAAAGUUUAUCCUCUAACCUGAUGAAGUCCUUGGCAUAGCCGGUCUAACCACUGUAUGCACACCGGUUAGACCGCUCAUCUACGUUGGUUGUCUCAUGCCAGCAAUAGAAGCAGAGUCAGCUCCCCCUACCUAUGCUAUUGCCUCCUCCUCGACCUCCCUGCAUCAUCCCCACCUCUCAUCCCACAUGAGCAUCAUCGUUUUUUGUCAAGCCGAGCAGCAUCGCUACCUCCUUGCCGAGCCGAACUAUGUCGCCCGCCUUCUCUCUUGGCCUCUCCUUAUCAAUGCCACUACCUCUCUAUCGAGACAAGCUGCUCUACUGCCUCUAGGUCUAGUCCUGAUCUGCGUACCUAGUGAUCUCGAGCUCAGAAGAUUCCAAACUCAACGUCGUUUGGCUUGACUUCAUUGCAUUCUUCCUAGCACCACAUCAGUUUUGACCUCGCCCACCUCCUCCCAAAACUCCAUGGGCAGCAACAACAGAGAGAGAGAGAGGCAAGGAGAACUGAUCUUUGUAGUCAGAACACCGUCGAGGCAAGUCUUCGUCACUAGAGAAUUGAAGAAAAGCCAAGGUAGUGGUGGAGAAGAGGGCAGGGCAACGUUGUCCUAGAGACACUAAAAAUCCCAAGUUCACCUGUCUUGUUUAACUAGGGAAGGCUGGAAAGGCAUAUAUUAGAGAGUCAAAAUAGAAAGUUUAUUGGAGCACAAGAAUGAGGGAAUCUUUUGGCAUGGAUGGUUAAAUGGAGAUUUGGAUAGCCAAAUUUGAUAUCUCUUGGAGAUGAUGACUGUUAUCUCACUUAGAAGAUAGUAUAUGCAAUAUGUUAGCUCUAGGUGCAAGUAAUUUUAUUUUAUUCAUUUUAAACUACUCUUUUUCUUUCCUUCCCUUUUUUUAUGCAUAAGUCAUCAACCUCUCCUUCAGUAAAAUAUAUUUAUCUAAAAUGUUCUACACCUACAAUUACGUUGAUAACUAGCCAUUAUGCAACUAAAAUAGGGGCAACUCCUUACAUGUCACCAAGCAUGUAUAGUUAGUUUUUAGUGCCUUGAAAGGAAUUUAUCAAACCAUGAGUGGCAAAUCAAUUGUGCUCAGAAGCCUCAAUAAACUUCUGCUGAUCUGCACUCUAGGAAGCUAAUGGUUGAUCUGUAUACUUCCUGCAUUUCAUCCACAACAUCUGUUUGGCAUGUGGUAAUUAAGAAAAACAAAUAAUCCAAUUAGGUGCAAUCAGCACAAGUACCAAUAAAAAGACCAUAUCAAGAGAACUUCAACAUCCUUUUGUGCUGCAGAUCACUUGGACAAGAUCCAUUCUUUUCUUUUCCCGGUGACGAUCAAGAUCUGCUGAAAAAGCUGAAUUAAAAGAAAGGCAAUCAAGCAGCACAGGAAGUAAUAAUUUGACACUACUAAGCUGAAUAAAGAAAGGUAAUCAGCACACGAAGUAAUAAUUUGACACUAUUCAUUUUUUUCAUUCAUUCACACGCUCUGAGCACAUUAUCCUCAAUCCUGCUGCCUUUUUCUUCUCUCUUUCCUCUUUUUCAUGUUCAGAUCUGCAUUCUGAUUUGAUGACAUACGAAAUGUGAAUCUUCUGACAUCUAGCAUAUGGGGUGGAAUGGUAAAACAGAAUUUGAGGAAAAUAUGGACGGGCACACGGCACUACGUCAAACUGGUUGGCAACUUGUGAUCAUCUGAACAAUUGCAACAAGAGUACAUUGCAAAAUCAUGGUCUCUGCUGCCAUUAUUCCAUUAUUUUGCAAUGAUCUAAAUAUAGACGACAAGAUGAACCCGUAUAUGCCAUAUCCAGGUGUGAUAUAAAAGGAAUAUAAAAGGAAGCUGUACACAUUUGCUGAUACUGUACUAAAAUAGGCGUUCUGAAUUCACACUGCACAUCAAUCAGAUCCAGAUCAAGAAAGACCAUAAAGAAACCAAAUUAAAACUGGAUCCUUCAGCUUUGCAGGAGUCAGCGUGACCUUGUAUUCCUUGUUUGUUUAGAUCAAACAUUAUUUCAUUAAAUUCGAAUUGUUACAAUACUCUCUAGAGAAAGUUCACUUGUAAACUAAUUGAUACAUAGCAUUUGUAGAAAAAUAUGACCGUAUUGUUGGAGCCAAACCGCGGAAAAAGUAGUACAGUUCUCAGGAGACUAAUAAAUCUAACUUGAGAAGAAGAGAAACCUCAGCAUAUCUCAAUUAUCACAUUUGAUUCAUGUCAGCUUGAAAACUAUGCAGAACGAGCCGUAGCUUCAGACCCAGUGGACUCAUCAGGCCUGAUGAGCACAAAACUUUGGUUAGUAGUUGAUUAUAUGGAGAAAAAAAAAGCAAUGAAGAAUUAGGGAUAGGUCAAAUUAAACUGAAGUCGGAUGAGAAAAUUAGCAAGAACCAUAAAGUAAAAUCGCAAACAAUUGAUAUCUAAAAGAACAUAUUGCUUUUUUUAUGGGCCAUCAGUUUGUUUAGUGCAUCUGCUGUUAAAGGACAGGAAGGUUUAUAGUGCAUAUGCACAACUGCAAAAAAUUAAUCAGAUAAAAUUACCAUCCACCCCCACCAAAACCCAAAAAAUGCUCAAUCCAUUGUUGCUGUGACAAAUAUAUUGUACCUUUGAAACUCCUUCGCCAACUUCCAUCCUAGCAAAAUUGCCAACUGUAACUUUUGAGCCAACUUCCUUUGACAAAUCAUUCAGGACGCUCUGAAAAUGUUGACAUCAAGAAGCAAAACCAUUAUGUACCAUGAAUUCACAAUUCAAACUAGUACUACAUAAUUAAAAAAAAGGAAAAGGUUUUAUCAGUUCACCUUGAUGUUUGUGCUGUCAUUGACAACAUAUUUUUGCUCCAAAAGCACAACUUCUUCAAAAUACUUUCUUAGUCGGCCUUCCACCAUUUUCUCCAUGGCCAUUUGGGAUUUUCCAGAGCUUUCAGCCUAAAAAGUUUCAGAGUAGUGUGUCACUAAAUCUUAAAUAACUUGAAUGCAGUUCAGUCAUAUUCCAGAUGGAUGUAGCCCAUGUGUCUCCAGAAGAUGACAAAAGAUAUUGCUAUUUAAUUCAUGGAAAAAUAAACAUAAUUGGUAUCAUAAACUUCUAAUAUACGGAUUCACAUUGUGUUCCAUUGCAUAGCUCAUCUCUGAAUUCUAACAGCCCAGCUGUCUUGCUUACAUAAACAUAAAACAAUGUGACAGGAAUACUAAUUGAGAAAAUUCUAUUGUGAGUCAACAGUUUCCUUUCAUUUUCUUUUAGUUAUAAUGAGUUAGGACUUAUCACAAGAUAUGCAUUUUUCUCUCAACUAUAGGUCAUUAUUGCCUAUGUAUGUUUUUCUGUUAAGAUAACAUCAGAACACUUGGUAUGGUAUGACCUUAUGAUACCUGAUAUCUCUAUGUAAAGCACACGCCCAUUUCUUCAAUUGUAAGCUAAUCAUAUAGAAUUACAGUGAUGCUAAAUUUUUCCGGUGCAAAGGAAGUAACAUUUAUCAGAAUAACGUACCUGAGUCCGGAGUAUGUCCCUCUCAUUUUCAACAGCUGAAGCAGAGACCAGUUCUUUUGAUAAAAACAACGGCUUUGUCGCAACGAUGUGCAUUGCAAUAGAUUUCCCGACUCUCUGAAGAGCAUCAAGAGGAGCAUUGCUGUCUUCUGCCUCUAGUGUGAUCAAGCCAGCAAGACGACCCAAACCUUAUUUCAGAAAAAAAAGAAAAAGCUUAUUCAUUCAGUGAACGAGAAAUUGCACCAUUUACCAUAUAUCAAUACAACUUCAUACUUCUGAAGAACAUAAAAUAUGGAUUGCUGUUAGGAAUCAAAUUAAUAAUGCGAGCAAGCUUGGCCAGCUCAGUGUAAGAGGCAAGUAUCACUAAAGUCGUAUUACUAUCAAUGGUUUUACAAAUGAGCUUGCAUCCUACUAAAUAAAUAAAUAAAUAAGAAGCUAAAAUUCAUCACUGGACAACCCUAAGAGAAUAGAUUAACUAUAAUUUAGAUUAAGGAAGGUAAUGUCCAGAAAGUCCAACAAAUUUAGAUUUCUGAACCCACUGCCACCCCACCCCCCGGCACAAAAAAAAAAGGAAAAUAAAUAAAGGCAAGGACAAGUAUGAUCCAUGCUCAGUAGUCACUAGAAAACUUUCAUUUGGUUAUGUGCACUCAAACUUAGCCAAGAAGAUUGGAAAACAUGCAUGCUACAUUCUUGAUAAAAGCCAAAGGGCAGAGAUUUGUGCAUGUACCUGGCUGGGGACAUGUGUGCAUAUAAGAGCAAACAACACCAUGUGCAGUUGUGGACAUAAUGAAACCUCUUCUGAAUUUGACAUUCUCCCCAACCAUGGCAGCAACUUCUGUGACAGCACUUUGGACUGUUGUCUCCCCACUAAGUUUAGGAUGAUCAAGAUUGACAUUAAGGUUCUGCAUGAUUGAGAGUUUGAGACAACUUUAUAAUAUCUACUUACACAUGGAAAAAACCAGGAAAAGAAGAUAAACAUAUCAUAUGAAGCUAACCAAAUCAUAUCAUGGGAACAGCAACAGACAUUACUGUGUGCACAGGAUAAGAAGCUGUGCCCUCUGUGCAAAGGGCACAGGAAGUGAGAGAGAGAGAGAGAUCCUGGGCUCGCACAUCAACGUGGCUUUUCUCUGAGAGCAUGGCUCUAGUGGAGGGAGAUAGUGCGCAACAGUUAUUCUAAGGGGGGGCUGUAGAAUAAGCCUACCCAAACUAAAUAUCUGAUAAGCACUAAAAUCUUCAUGUAGUUUAAAAAAGCAGGAUAUAUAUACAUAUUUACAAUGGCUACAAUAUCUACAAUGUGGUUGUUAAUGCUGGUAUUGCAAACAUGUUCAUUUGUAUCAUGAUCAUCUCCACAUAGCAUCCUCUGUAAUACUAGAGCCAAGUCACAUUUAUCAUGGCAUUUCCAGUCCACUGCCAUGAAGUUCUUGUGUCACAUAUGACUAAAUGGUUGAGCCAUUUUAACUUGUUUCCUUUUAUAUCCAACAUAAACAGUGUGCUAAAAAUCAGCUGUAGGUAGCAAUUCGGUGCCAGGCGGCAGCUUGGCACUGCGAUUAGCACUUUGGCGGUGAGCUCGGCAGCUGCCCCACCUCAAUAGUCAUCCUCGGUCCAACUCAGACUAGUUGUGGCAGCAAGUAUGCAGUGAAGAGGGCGACUAGUGGCCUAGGCGGCUCAGUACAGGCGAGGAUAUAAGUACCUCCCCACCCUAGCUGCCCAACCUAAUCCCCAAAUUGGAGCACGUGCAACAGCGGCUAGGGUUUGGGAGAGGCGAUGGCGAUUGAGGUCGCCAUAGACGUUGCCGCCGCCACCGUAGUUAGAUCCACUGGCAGCUCGCCUGCUCUGCUGCGACUCCUACUGCUCCGCUGCGACUUCUACUGCUCCAUCGUCCCUCUGUUCUCCCCGCCAGGCACUCACCACCAUCUACCAUCUCCACGCCACCAGCCGCUUGGACAUAUGCACCAGCACACCAGCACAGUGCACAAUUAUGGCCAACACUGAGGAAUUGAGCAAGUAAGCCAUGCUCUUUGGCCUUUGCUGUGCUACAGUCUAUUCUCUAGUAUCUAUAUACUGCUCUGUUCUUGUGUGCUCUGCUACUCUACUCUACACUAUCAGAUAUUCUUCCACAAUUUGCUUGUCUUUGCUGUGUGGGUGCGGCUGGUGGUGGUGGUAAAUUGGUGUUGCUUGCUGCCUUGAUGGAAAGCUUGUACUUGCUUGCUUGCUUUGCUUCUUGCUGCACCUGCUUUCUGUGGUGGACUGGAUUCGAAACUGCUUUUUCGCGGCUAGUCGUGCGCACCCUCCCCCGCGUCGCGCAAAGAGGAGGGCGGCAGACAGCCAUGCUUUUCCUUUUUUUUUUCCUUUUCCUGUUUCUUUCCUUUUUUUUCUGUUUCUUUUUCACUUUUUCGGGUUUUUUUUUUCGGUUUGUUAUACAAACUAUGUAUACACAUAUACUAAGUUUGUAUACAUGUAUAUUUUUUCCUUUUUUAUACAUACGUAUAUAAACUUUGUAUACGUAUGUAUACAAAGUUUGUAUAUUUUGUAUACGUUGUAUACAAACUUUGUAUACAUGUAUACAUAUUUUUUAUACAUCAAAAGUGUAUGCGUAUACAUAUAAAAAAUGUAGGGUAUAUAUACAAAGUUUACACAUAUUUUAUCGUCUAUAUACGUAUGUAUAUAUACCUCAUAUACAUGCGUAUAAACUUUGUAUUGUGGUAUAUAUACAAACGUAUAAAUACUGAGACUAGAUGGGUAGCGCUGGUCGCGCGGGUGUGCCGGCGCGCGACCAAUCGCGUAUCAACCAUCCCCGACUGGAUUGGCUUGGGGGUGGUGGUGGUCGUGGUGGUGAUUUAGUCAGGUGGAUGGCUGGAUGCUCUUGCAGCUGUGUGGUGGGUGUUACAUAAAUAUGAUCACAAGUAUCUUAAUAUCUCUAUCAGUACAGCACACUGAAUCCAUACUAUUUGAAAAGGUAGUGUGUAGUGGGCUUAAAUACAGAUACACCAUUAUUGAAAAGAUAACAUGAGAUUGAUCACAGCACCUGUUAAAGUAGAAUUUUACAUGAAAUGGAACUUAAUGAAGACUUAGAUCAGUUGGUUUCAAAUUUGUAAAAUGACGAGUCAAUCAAUUACUGGUAAAAUUGGUGGUGCUUCUAUAAAUUACACAAUAAAUGCGCCAUAACCCAAAUUAAUAUAUGGAUAACUUCAUACCUCCAAAUAGUCAGGACCAAAAGGAAAAACCAAUUCACCAGGAUCCCUUGCUGAUAAAGCCAACUUUGCUAAAGAAGAAGCCUGCAAGUUUGAUGAGAUAUAAAAAAAAAUCAUAAAUCAAGUUUAACUACCUUGAAACCACGCACAAGCACAAGCUGAACAAUCAAGGCAGUUAAAUAAGUAUGCUGUUGUGAUGUCUAAGAUAGGGAAAAGAAUAUCCUACAAGAUACACAGCUAUCAAAGAAGUUCAAGAGUACAACUGCAACAGAGCAUAAUGUCAUAAUGUUGAAAUACUCAAAUAAAACCUACAAAAGAAACUGAAAGUUAAAACAUGGACAAAAUGAUUCUGUUCAUAUUUUGAUAUGCCACAACCAACAAGCUAUACCUACAUGCUCAAAUACACUAUAUGUUUAGCAUGCACAAAAAGUAGGCAUCAGGAAUGGCAUAAAGAUACUGAGAUAAAAACUAACCAGAUACUGGAAAACAUCAUUUCUUGCCACAAAAUCCGUCUCACAGUUAAGCUCAACCACAGCGGCCCUUUUCUCAUCUUGUGCAAUAGCAAGCAAACCUUCAGCUGCAGUCCGUGAAGACUUUUUGGCAGCAAGAACCACCCCUCUCUUCCUUAGGUCCUUCUGUGCAACAUCUGAAAGAAAUCAACAAACUGUCAAUAGGAUUAACAGAUACAAACAAGUAUGCCGAUGAAGUAAUGCUAAUGCAAUCAGAAAUAAGCACAAACCAAUAUCCCAGUUGCAACUAACUAAGGAAGCCUUCACAUCUUUGAUUGGAGCGCUCGUCCUCUCCCUCAGCUGUUUGAUGAGAUUCAUUUGCUCCGACGCAGGAACUUCGGAGCUGAAUCUCCUGAGAAGUGUGGCGCUUUGAUCGACAUUGCUGCUCGAAAGGUGAGCCUGGAACGCUGAAUAAGAGUAACCCCGAGCAGAAUGUUGUUGGGCGCGAAACAGAAGCCCAAUCAUGGGCUUUCUAGCACUCUGACUCCAGGCCAUUCUCACAAUGUUCUGCAAUGCAGAAUAUGCAGUACUGUUGGUAAACUAAACUAUCAUCAAUAAACAUCAGAAAAGCGAGCUCCACCGAUUAGGUCUCAACUAAAGAAAAGAGAUAUGUCAUCCCAUUUCUGCAACUAGGCAGCGGCGGAUCCAACUUGGCCAAACUUUUUGGGGAACAAACAACAAACUGUUACUUGUAUUAAGGUUAAGGCUCUGAAAUUAAGAGAGGAGCUUCUUCCAGAUCUAGAAGAAGAGCUAGGGUUAACGAACGCAAGCAAAUUCCAGACAAAAGUAGUCCCGGUGGGAGAGAGAGAUGAAUCAGGAUGUGGAUGCUCACCAGGAUCCCCUCCCCUGCUCUGCUCGCCAGAUGGAGAUCGGCGCCCCUCCCCUGUUCAGCAGAGAGAUGACGCAAGGAGCGGAGGAGACGAGACGGGAUACCUCGGCGAGGACGGAGACGGAGACGCGGACGACGGCGGCGGCGGCGGCGGCGGCGGCGGCGACGAGUGGAGCGCAGCCGCAGGGACGGGACAGUGAGGGAGACGAGGGUUUUGGGUUUUCCGUCUCGGAGGGCUGGUUUGUACGUCGAUGGGCCGAGCUUACGUGGGCCUAUUGGGUUGAAGCCCAUUUGGUAAAACUUCGACACAUGUAGGAAUAAGUCUAAUAUGCGUCCCUCAACUCAUGCAUCUGGUUGAAAUGCACCCCUCAACCGCAAAACCAGGUAUAACUUUCCCCUCUUCAUCCCACGUGGCAUCGACAUGGCGUUUACGUGACACUAAAAUAAAAAUAAAAAGAAAAUUUUGGGCCCACGUGUCACAUAUGCGUAACCAUGUAUUUGCCUGCCACCCUUUAGAAAGCCAAGUGCAGAGCACUUGUUAGUUGUUAGUACAAACCUAUCAAGACGGACACCUUAAAUCCCCAUACUGUCAAACAACUCUACGGCUACUCCACCACACCCAAUCUGAGCGUAUCCUUCCACCACACCCAAUCUGAGCGUAUCCUGUGAUAACCGUAUUCCAAGUAGUUGGGCGCCUGGGCCUCCUGUUGGGAGUGCAUGAAACACCAACAUUGCCUCAUCCAUGCUGCGAAGCUUUGCAUACAAGUUGAUAGGCACUACGUUACCUGUAUACGGCAAAAAAAUCACGUAUCCAUAUCGGAUGAUACGGUAUCGGAUACGCUCCGAUAUGUGUCCCGUACGUAUCCAUGAUUUUCACAACUAACAAAUAAAACAAAGUAAAUCUGGAUAUUUCGUGGAUACGCCUUGAUACAUCGCUUGAAAUCGCUGAGCAGUACAAAUCCAUGGCAACCACCAUGUGAGCUGGCUCGAUCUUGUUCACCAUUUGAUGCCCCUACAAGCGCAUGGUUCCUAUGCUGCCGCUGUCGGACGCCAUAGCUCCACCUCUGCUAUUGGGUGUGGCACUGACGGUGUCCCCGUCGUAGCCGGAUGUAAUGCUUCCCCCUCCGCGAGUCGGUUGGCCGCCGUUGGACGUAUUACCUCCACCGCUGAGCGUGGUCCCGCCGCCGCUCGGGCGCUGCUGCUGCCUACUGGGCGCAGUGGGGCCUCCUCCUCAGUGGUCAGGCGCAGCGCCAUAGUUGAACACAACCCAUGCACCGCUGGGUAUUUGCUUAUUGGUUUGUUGCUUCUUUGAUUUGUUUCCAUAAAGUACAGGCGCAUUCGUUUUUUAUGUAGGGUUUGGGAGUAGUAAGGUACGGCUGGUAAUGUUGUUGCAGCCUACAGGCUCACUAACAGUAUUUUAUGAAACAAUCAAGCUUCAUCAUAUUUCUUUUUUUUUGUCAUGGACAUGUGUGGAUCCAUCUUUAUUUGUAUACGGGCGUAUCCCAAAAUUUAUAGUUUAGAAAAUAAAAUUUGUAUAGGUGUAUCUCCGUAUCCAUGUUUUCUGAAAAAUACCGUAUCCCCGUAUCUGGGUAACAUAGGAUAGACGUAGUCCCAACAUAGACAUUAGCAUUCAGGUCCAACUUGACGUCAAUCCCAUUCACUUGCUUACCGAAUAAAACAGCCUUAGAUUGUGUACACGCACGUAGGAGGCCUCCCAGAAGGCAGCGAAGAUGGAAAUCGUAGAGUCAUCGCGCCCGUGCUGUGUGUACAUGGAGAUGACCGAGCCCCAGGAGGCAGGAGACAAGGUUCCGAUGGUGCAUUAGAGCAACUCCAGUGUACGAGUAAAAUCGAACCAUACUUGAAAAACCGAAUACAACACACUACAGCAACCAACUGUUAUAUGUUAGAGCAAAAAUCGACCACAGAAGGAGAGACGAACUCGGCGAUGAAAAGGUAAUUUGCAGUCGUUGGCUGGCUGCACGAGAGAGGGAUGGACGCAUGUGAUUAGAGAUUCUUUUUCUACGUGGGUCCAUGAUCAAUGUCACACAUUGCAGCCAACGAAUCAAAAUUUUGCUCGACCAUGCUUAUUCAACAUUUGAACUAUGACUAAGGUGCCUUAGAUCGAACAGGUGGGUACAGACUCACCCCGUCCCAUUCCCCUAGCUAUCCUUAUCUCUCUCUCUCUCUCUCUCUCUCUCUCUCUCUCUAUAUAUAUAUAUAUAUAUAUAUAUAUAUAUAUAUAUAUAUAUAUAUAUAUAUAUCAGCUAUUCACUUUCCAUUUAUAUUACACAUAGCUUGCACUAAAAGUUGAUUAAACUCAAACUUUAUCGAUCGCUCGAGCCGUCACUUAUAAUAAAUAUGAGUAAAUUGCACCCACGGUGCAACAACUUGGUAGGUGGGUGUAAUUUGGUGUAAUAACUUGAAAAAUGAGCGUUCUAUUACAACAACUUGGCAAGAAGGUGCAAUUUAGUAUAAGAACUUUAUAAGUGAUCGUAUAAAUACAGCAACUUUGCAAGGUAAGUACGAUUUUGAUAUAAUAAAUUAAGAAGUUGUGUGACAACUUAAUUAUUUGGAGCAUUUUUUAUAUAAAUUCAAAUUUUUAAGUAUUUAUUUUGACAAUAUACUAGCGUGGAUUUGUAUAAACAUAUUUAUAUUUUUAUCCUAAUAACUAAUAACUCUAAUAACUAAUAACUGAAAGUUAAUUAAACUGGAUGUAGAAAUUAUUAUAUUUGGUUGAUAUUUGAGAAGGUGAAGAAAACAAAAAAAUUCUUAAAGAAAACUGAAUGUAAAUUGUAUGUGCAAUAUAAUUCUUAAAGAUUAAAUUCAAUAUUAUAAGAUAAUAUCCAUAGGAUUACUAUGUAUUGGCAUAUUGAUAUCGGAAAAAACUCACCUAGCAUAUGCUUAGCCAAAUUGAUUCACCAAAAUACUAAAUUGUCAAGUUCUUGUAUUAGAACGCACCCACUUGUCAAGUUGUUGCACUCGGACAUUCAAUUCUCAAGUUCUUGCACUAUAUCGCACCCACCUGCCGAUAGGGGUGGAAACGAGCCAAGCCGAGCCGAGCUCGGCUUCGUGAAAGCUUGGUCAAGAACAGGCUUGGCUCGGCUCGGCUUGAUAAAUGGAACGAGCAAAAAGUGCAGCUCGGCUUGGCUCAUUUAAAAGCUCGAGCCGGCUUGAGCCAGCUUGAGAGGGUGGCCGAGCGGCACUGGGGAGGGAGGCCGGAGGCAGCGCAGGGGAGGGAGGCGGCGCCGCGGCGGCAUAGGGAGUGUCGAGCCAUUGACCGUCGAGUGUCGCUGGGGAGGGAGGCCGGAGCCGGUGCAGCCGCACAGGGGAGGGAGGCGGCGCAUGGGAGGGCGGGCCGGAGGGAUGUGGCGGGCCGGCGGCACAGGGGAGGGAGGCAGCGAACCGGCGGCACAUAGGGGUGACUGGGGAUGGGGGAGGGAAGCGGCGCCGUGGUGGCGCGGGGAGCGUCGAGCGCCGCUGGUGAGGGAGGCCGGAGCCACGCAGCCGCACAGGGGAAGGAGGCGGCGCAGGGAGGGAAGCGGCGAGCCGGCGGCACAGAGGAGCGACUGGGGACGGGGGAGGAAGGCGGCAAGCCGAUGGGUGGCGGCGCAUGGGAUGGAGCCGAAGGUGGCGGCCGGCAACUCCUCUCGCUAGUGACGCCGGUCGUGCGUGCGUGCGGCGGCGUGCCUGCACCUGCGUGGGAUGGGGAAUGGGGAGGGUCGGACGGAGCAGUUAGGGUAGGGUUCUCUGUUGUUUUUUAUGGGCCAGACUGAGACAACUUGUUAAUGGGCUAGGCUAGGUCAUGUUUUUCACAGGCUUGACGAGCCUACCGAGCGGCUCGUGAGCUAGCUCGGGCUCGGCUCGAUUUGCAAACAAGCUGUGGAGGGAGCUCGGGCUCGGCUCGUUUAGUCUUCGAGCCGAGCCAAGCUCACGAGCCUAAGUUUUUUGUCCACCCCUACCUGCCAAGUUGUUGUACCGUGGGUGCAAUUUACUCUAAACAAAAUAUAAGGUAAUCUACGAUAAUAAAAAUCAGACUAAGCUUAAAUACAUAUUUUUCCCUAAAAAAUAUUCCGCGACUUAUCUGAUUUAAAUAAGAUAAUUGCCAAAAAAAAUCAUCGCGAACUUUCAAUUGUAAUUACAACAUAUAACAACGGUGUAACAUUAUAUAAAUAUAGAGUAUAAAGUUACAUAUUUUAUAAUAUAUUUACAUAUAAAUUAUAUUGUAUUAUAGUAUAGUUAUAUUUCAAAGCUUUCCACUCAAAAAACGUGUCGUAGUUUUUAAUAAUUCCUCAAAUAACACUUCAAUUUAAGCAUGUUGUCGUCUAAUUCUGCCAUGAACACUAACGGCUCGAUCAGAAAAUUAUCGACAACGGUUCCUUUUUAACUACAAACACUUACACGCACGAGUACUUUUCUAACACAGUUAAAAAUUCGAAAAUGCUACACGUACAUCCGAAAUGUCACGCCGUUGUGCAUUUGCUGUUUUACCAUUUAGUCGUACGCCGGUGGGACACCUAGUUAUUGGAACCGACCGGACCGGCGGUUGGAUCGGAAAAAACCGAAACCGGUUCCUUUUUAACUCCAAACACUUACAUCCCGUUAUAACGCACGAGUACUUUUCUAACAUAGUUAAAAAUUCGAAAAUGCUACACAUACAUCCGAAAUGUCACGCCGUUAUGCAUUUGCUGUUUUGCCGUUUAGUCGUACGCCGGUCUAGUCCAGCUAAAAGACCGGUUGUGCAAUCAGCCUGGUAUAUACCGGUUGGGCCGCCCGAUCUGCAUUGUGCGUGGUCACCUUCGCAGCUGGAGAGGGAAAAGGGUGGGAUUCGAUCCCAGGACCUCAUGUAUAAAAGUAAACCAACCAACCACUAGAUUACGAUAUACCUUGUGUUUUGAAGGGAUAAACAAUAUAUUUACAUUAGAUUGAACCGCUUCAAACCAGUGGUUCAACACUUUAACCAGUUGAACCAAUAAAUCAUUGAAUUGAGAGCAUCGCUGGUUUAAUGACCGGUCCGGUCUUAAUAAUUAUUAUGAUGUGACAAAGAACAUCGGAUGCAUAGCGGGGUUCUUAAAAAUUACUCAUGCGUCAACAACGCGGUUGCAAGAAACCGUUGGCUCACGCCACCCGCGCCGCGCUGCGACCCAGCCUCCGUUCGAGCUGCGUGCGCGUGCACCGCCACCGAGCCGAACCAGCUGUCGCCUGUCGCCGGGCUCGGACCCGAGUCAAGCGAGUCAAGCCUUCCGGUGCGGCUGCGGCUGGCCUCGCGUACGGCCGCCACGUGGCCUCGCCGUAUCAAUCACGAGAAGGGGAGAAAAGUGGGGCGUUGCCCAGAAACCCCAGCUGCUUGCUCGCCGCGCGCUCUCUUCUCGCCGCCUCGGCCUCGCCGCCGUGGCCGCCGGUGCCUGGACGAGGAGGAGGUGAGGGCGUACGCUUCGGCCGGUCCGCCGGCCGCGCCGCGCCGCGCCUCUGUUUGUUCUCUGCUUGGGCUCGCCGUGUUGGCGUGUGGAUGUGUAACGGCUAAUUUGGUUCGGUUUUUGUGCUUGGUGGUGGUGGUGAUUGCAGGGCUGGAUCGCUGGGAGAUGUUGAGCAGCGGCGCGCGGUGGCAGCCGCGGCGAAGCGGAUGGGCGGAGUGGGGCGGCGACGCUCGCCCGGCUCGCUCUCCUCCUCCUCGUCGUCGUCGUCCCGACGUCGCUGCGGGUUGGCGAGGCGAGGGGACCAGUAGAGUGCGGGGGCGCGGGGAGAAGGGAACGACUCAUGGUGGAGCGGAAGGCGAGGGCGCGGUGGUGGCGCCGGUGAGAACAGCGGACGCGGUGCCGGCGAGAAAUGCGGUGGCCGUCGCCGGUGGUUUGGCCACGCGCGGCGUCGAGCGGGAUGCUGGCCAGGUGGUGGCGAGAGAGGAGAAGAGACAUGGCGGCGAGUUGGGGACCAAGAGAGGAUUGGAGGAGCGGGCCGCGCGUUCGCCGCCGCCGCCGCCGCCGCCCAAGCGGAGGGCGGUGUCCGCUAUUCGCCAGUUUCCCCCAGGUUGCGGAAGGGACGCUGCUGCUCCAGUCGCCCGCGGCCGCGGUUGUGAUGGUGGUGUUCGUCUGUUGGAUGAGGCAACCGCUGCUCCUCUCGCUGGCAGCAAAGAUGAUUCUGCUGUUCCGGGUGUGGUGGAGAAGGUGGCGUCUGUAGAUGGUGGCGAUUCAAUGGCGAAUGCGCAUCAUCAUCAUCAUGCUAUGAUGGACACGGUCUUGAUGAAAUCUUCACAUGUUUCGGAUGAGAAUCAGGUCGCUCGCAAAGUUGGUUCACUGGAAAAUGGCGCAGAAGGGUCAGCGAGGGGAAAGGGAGGACACGGCGGUGAAUUGCUGGGAAGGAAGGAAGUGUUGGCUCAAGCCGCGAAUUUGCUUCCCAAGAGGAGGAUUGUAUCUGCGACGCGCCGCUUCCCUCCUGGGUGUGGGAGGGACGCUGUGGCUCCACUUGCUCACAGAGAAGAGAGUAAGGUAGGUUCAAGUUUGGAAGCCAUGCCUGUUGAUGCUGGUUGGGGUGUGUCAAAGGAGGUGGUGACUACGGAUGGCCGUAAUAAUUCGGUUAACCAGUGUGCCUCGAACAUUGUCGGAACAGUAAAGUGCCAGGAAUUGGAGGAGGGUGAGGUAGCUGCUGAGGCAUGCUGUGAUGUGGAGUCACAAAAAGUUGCUGGUCAUGGAGAAAAACUUGAAAGUGCUGUUCCUGUAACUUCUGCUGUUACUGAAGUUUUGACAAGGUGUGGUUCUGAUGAGAUGGAAGGGUGUAGUUAUGCUGCGGAGGCAACUGAAAAACACUUGUCAAUGGGUGGUAAAUGUUCAAUUGGUGGUCCUUUCAAUGAAAUUGUCCACGGCAAGAGAGUGUUGGGGAGUGAUGGCAUUAAAAGGGAAGUUCCUAGUCUUGCAAUGGAAGAUCAUGGCAGCAUUGCUCAUGACCAAGAACUGGUGGAGGUUGAGUUAACUACAGGGGACCAUAUUCAGGAGGCUCAAGUUGCUACCACUGUUAACCCACAUGAGUCUACAAUUAGUAGACAUGAGGCAGCUGUUUCAGCAAAUACUGCUCCAGAAGUUUCUAUUAGGCAUUUUUCUAGUGUGAAGAACGGAAACACAUCACAGCAUGAGGAGACGAUAUAUGCAUCUGCAGCUGCUGACGUUGUUAAGGUGAUGAAUAAAUGCAAAGGGACCAAAUCCAAAGCUGCGGCUGAACCUUGGGCUGAAGGUCCUUCCAAAGAACACUUCAAGGCUAAGAGGGAGUGUGAAAAAGAUGGGAUGAAAAAAUCAUCCAUGAAUGUUCCAACAGAAGUAUUUCGUGAUGGUAUCAUGAGAACUAAGUUACUAUUGACAGCUAGAAAAGCAGUCAAGCCACCACUGAAUACUCUGCAUAUACCCUUCUCCAUGGGAAAAGAGGAGUCUGUUGUAACAAAUAGUGCAUCAUUUGGUCCUAAGAAGAAGGUGAAGGUGAAAAGCCCGCAUGAAAGUAAAGGUAUUCCUAUGAAGAUUGUCUCUACAUCUGGAUUGGCGGGCAAGGACAACCUUAUCAAUGAAAAGGCUUUGAGCUUGGAAGAUGAUGAUAUUUUGAAGGCACUAGCUGUUCAUAAUGGAAAGCUAGAGUUGUAUCUCAAUGUUCCCUCAUGCGUUGAGCGUCACAGGCAACAUGGAAGUGAGAAUGGCAAUGAUAGGAGCAAAAUCAGGAUGCUAUGCAGGAGGUUUCAAUUUAUAUGCAACGCUCUUCUACAUGCUGUUGAACAAGGCUCAUUGAUGGUUCGACGAAUUGACCUUGAAGCUGAUAAAAUCAUCAGGAAAUUGCCGGGCUUUACUAAACAUGGACCUACUGUGGGAAAUGUUCGUGGAGUCGAAGUCGGUGACGAAUUUCUGUACAGAGUUGAGCUAGCUCUUGUUGGUCUUCAUCGCCCAUACCAGGGAGGAAUUGAUACCACCGAUCAUAAUGGAGUGCUUGUUGCAAUAAGCAUCGUUGCUUCUGGAGGUUAUCCCGAUGAAUUGUCAAGCUCAGGUGAACUGAUAUAUACUGGUUCUGGAGGAAAGCCUGCUGGUAAGGAGAAACACGAGGAUCAAAAGCUAGGGAGGGGGAACCUUGCCUUGAAAAAUUGCAUCAAGACAAAGACACCUGUCCGAGUGAUUCAUGGAUUCAAAGGUCAAAAUAGAGAGGACGUCAGUCAUUCAAGAGCUAAACAAAUCUUAACAUUUACUUAUGAUGGGUUGUAUCUUGUGUUGGAUUGCUGGAGAGAAGGUCUAAAAGGUUCAAGGGUCUUGAAAUACAAAUUACAAAAGAUUCCUGGACAACCAAAACUUCCUCUGCACAUAGCUAAAUAUCAGAACACUAGGCUGGGAUCCCAAGGAUGGUGAGAACCAUCUUGAUGUAGUGCUUAGAUCAUUGCUCUUGAUUGCCCUUGUCGAACUCGGACAUGAAGAGACUAUAAAUGAGGGAGUUAGGCGGUUCCAUAUCUUCUUAAAAGACAGCAAAACUAACCUUCUUCCACCAGACACUAGAAAAGUUCAGAUUUUUUCUUAACAUACCGCUAUAGUGUCACGUCUUUGGUAUCUAGUGUACUAAUAUAUGUAUUGAUCUGCAGGCUUCAUAUCUUUCUAUGAUGCAGACUGUUACUACCUCCAGCAGAGGUGGUAAUGGUGCUCUCCUUAAAAUCUACAGAGAAACUGCUGAAGCACUGGAGAAGUCAGUCAAGUCACGCAUUUUAGGACUGUGCGUUCUGACUGUCUAGCUUAAGUGACACAGCAGGGAUUUUAUGAUGAGUUGUGUUGUCCUGAAAAGUAAUAUUUCUUCUAUUGUAGGUACAUUGUCUUCAUGCCCAGCUAAGGAUAUUGUUCUUGAGGCACCAAACUUCAUGGUCACUGAUGAGUGAUGAGGUUAAGCUCUAAAUUUCUGAACAAACGAUGAUUCAAGACAGUAAAUGGUGGAAUGAGAUUCUAUUCUACACCAUGGAUACAUAAGCCAGUCUAGUCUCUCUCUUGCUUGCCAGGUACGGAAUCAAGAUGCAUUUUAUGUCCAUGGUGGUAGUAUAUUAGAAGUUUGAGAAGUUGCAUGGGCUGAUUGAAGGUAUGCUAUAGUUUCAGGGUACCUAAAGUGGGUUAUUUAUGUUGCUAUCUGAUAAACAACGCACAGAUUUCUGAUAUUUAUGAACGAAAAAACUAUAAGCACUGUUGUGAUGCUCAAUAUUUUUACUGUUAUGAGGGGUUCAAAGUUCAAGUUCCACCAAAUGCCAAUACAUGUUAGGUGUAUAUAUCAAUACGAGAAUCAAAUUUAGAUUUUACACAGAGCUAUGCCAAAUCAAAUUAUGGUCCUUGAGAAGGUACCAUGAGGUAUCACUUUUUCUAUUGUAAAUUUGGUACCUAGGUACUAUGAGGUAUCAUGAGGUAACAAAAAAAAUAAUGUAAAAUUUGGUACCUCAUUGUACCUCCUUAAGGACCGUAAAAUUGCUCUAAAGUUUAUGGUUUGAAACUAAAAUAGUCAAAAUAAUUAUGAAAUAGGGAAGCUGGAUUAUCAAAAUUCCUUUCUACCGUUCACGCCAAUAUCGAAGUUAGUGCAAUUGUGUGUAUGUUACCCUCCCUGGUUGCAUAAUUAGGUCUCUUUACCCAAAACUGGUGCAAUCAUUUGUUUUGCUCAAUACUACUAUCAUUCAGUCCUGCUCUUUUAGAAAACCAGAGAACAAAUCCAAAAGGUUUUCCCAAGUAACUCUGUGAUAGUUCAGAACAAAAGAAACACAGUACUUCAUAGAAAACGUGGGAAUCAACGUUCUAACAGAUGAAGUGAAGCUGUUUAUGCAGUUGCACCAAAUAGGAGUAUGCUAAUGAGCUUUGUGUACCUACCAGUGCAGCGGUUGUGACUGAGUUAUUUCAUUAUCUAAAAGAGAUUAGAUCAUCACCUCGGUGAGAUGAAAGCUCCAACCCCAUUCAUGACGCUGAAUAGCUCUGCAAUUUAAGGGAAAUCCAGCAUAUCAAAAUGAACGCGACAUAUUUCCACUUACAGAAAAGAUGCCACCUGAAUAAUGCACAUCUUAGAAUGAGCAAAUCAAAGAAGUUACAGUAAUAAGUUCUGUUAUUUUUAACAGGCCUGAUUCUGGAGUUCAGAGCAAGUUGGAUAUCUGUGACCAUGAGUCCCCAUCUAUGCAUGAUGCAGGAAAACCGGUUCAUGUCUUGAAGACCUGGCCAUCAAAUUCACUACUAUCAGACUUCGUCAAUUUCUCGGGUAAGCGAAGUUACCCCCUUUUCUCUCCAUUGCUCUUCCUUCUCAGGCACUAAAUUCACUCCUUCCCUUUUAUGUUUCUAUUUGUUUUCUGCAUGAUCAGGUCACCACGGAGGAGAAAGCUACUGAAUUUUCCGAGUUCUUCGCCGGUGAAGGGUUCAAACCAUCGUUCGAGCGUGUGCUGAAGCAAAGCCUGGAGAGGGUCCGGAUCAGCCCGAGAUGGAUCGAGAGCAUCAGGCCUUGCUCGUACAGUGCAUGAGCUGCAGCAGCAGGAAAUGUAACUUUCUGGGCUAAGCUAGAAGAUUUUACACGCAUGGAAGUUCGUACAAAAAUGUUCUUGGAAAGGUUGUGCGGUUGGGCCAGGUGUGGCCACUACUAAAAAAAACCUAGAUAGGUGCUCAACCGGCACCUAGCAAGCAGGCGGCACAUAUGAGAGAAAUGAAAGGACCGGCACCUUUGAGGUCCCAAAAAUUCAGAAAAAAAACAGCUGUCGAGCCAAUGCAUCGAGGCAUCGAGCUCUCAAUCAUCCAUGAGAUCCCCAUCCAAGAAUACAAGCACACAAUCACGACUAAAACAAACAUCCGCAGACAAAAUCCAUUAACAAAAUCAACGAGAAGCCAUCGCCACCGGGGAGAGUGGAUAUCCGCCGUGGGAGCCUCUGCCACUAGAUCCACCUUUCUGGCAGCGACGACGGGGAUGGCUUCUCCUCCGUCUUCACCCUUAUAUCCCAUCGAUAUAAGGGUGAUACCUUACAAUAUCAGGUAUGGUACACAAGUAUCUAUCUAUCUAUCUUCUAUUAUAUACUAAAAGUCCAUUAAACAUUUUAUAAACGCUCUCAAACCGCCACGUGGCACUACUACAAACGCUCCUAAGUCGCCACAUGGCACUAUCUAAUCUCACCGUUGAUUUUCACUUAAAUUGAUGGAUCCGUUAUUUUACACAAUUAGAUUAGAUCUAUUAUUAGAAAAUAAUAACAUCCUCAUGUUUAUAACAUACAAGCGUACUUAUAAGUUUGUACGUUACAAAUGCCACUGCUGUACUUUCCGUACGUACAAACGUAUAUGAUUGAAAACAAAACUUUCCUAAUCUUUGCUAGAAGAAAAACAAAUACACAUAUACAUAAAAAAGACAUAAAAACAUACAUUCAUAAAAAUCAACGGUAUUUAAAAUAUGACUUUCUACAAUAUAAAGAUAAAAUAUAUUACUUCACAAAUAUAAAUAUAUUCAGUUAAAUUAAGAUCUAUAAUAAAUAUCCAAUCAAUAUUCUUUCAAAGCAUCUUCUAAAUCUAUCUAUUAUAUACUAAAAGUACAUUAGACUUUCUACAAACGCUUUUACACCGCUACGUGGCUCUCUAAUAAUUUAGAGAAAUCAUAAAAAUCUAUUAUAUACUAAAAGUCUACUAAAUGUCCUGCAAACACUCCUACAUUACAUUAUCAUGUGACGCUCUAAUAAAAUAAGAGAAAUCCUAGAAAUUUAGAGUAAAAAAAGAAAACCAUCCAACCUUCAAUUUUCACUUAAAUUAGUGGACCAGUUAUUUUAAACAUUGGAUUAGAGCUUUAAAGAAACGGACGGAUUUCUCAAAAAAAAGGGAUUAUGCUACUAAUCUCUAUCCCGGUAAAAAAAAAGUGGCGUGCUUAAGUCGUACGAUCGUCUCCUUCCCAAGAAAAAAACAAAAUUUAAAUACCUACACCAUAUAUGAUCGAAAAAAGAUAAAGAAAAAAAUAAAAAGAAAGCACGCACACGUACAUAGUAGUAUCGGCAAGAAAUAUUGAUAAAAUCAUCAGUUCAGCACUAAUUUGUUGUCAACAACCUUUAAUCUACGAUUUUAUUAAAAAUAAUACUACAUAGAUAUGCACAGUUAAACUUAAUCGUAAACUUGUUGUAGUGAUAAAUAUAUCAUGGCAAAUGAUACCAACAUGUAAUAGUUAAUGCGAUAAUAAUGUUUCAAAUAAUUUCAUAUGAUAUUUUAUGGUUUCAAAUAUCACUUGACAAAUAUAUAACGUUAAUUUGAAUCUACAUAUGUAAAAAAUUAAAAUAACAAAACCUAGAAUUGUUUUUUAAGUACAUCUAUUUAGGUUUAUUUAAUUUUGGGAGAAAUUGAGAUUCUCAAAGUAUUUGGAAUUUUUCAAAACUUUUCUUAUUUGAGGUGUCAGAAGCACAAUUAAUAGAUUGAUGAGAAAAUUAAAUUAAAUUUUAGCGAGUGGUAAUAAAACAACAUAAUUGAGCUUUGGUUUUUAAGUGGAUCUUUUUAGGUUUAUUUUGGGUGAGAUUGAGAUUCUAAAACUAUCUGAAAUUUUUCAAAACUUUUUUAUUGCUAUUUGAGGAGUGAGAAGCAUACAUGAUAGAUAGAUGUGAAAAAAAAAUAAAUAAAUAAGAUUUUAGACAAUCGUUUUGCUAGAAUACAACCCUUAAUUCAUCACAAGAAUUAUGUAUUUUCUUUGCCAAGUAGUAUUGGCAAAACAUGAAUAAUCCAAUAAAAUACGCAUCAAACUACUUAUGAUAUUUUUUUAUAGUUGAUAGAAAUUCUAAUAUACCAGGUAUAAUUGAUGGACGAAUGUUAUACACCACUGAACCCAUCUAUAAGUGCACUCUAGCAAAUUAGUUAGUGUAAAUAAGUUUGUGAAAUAAGUACAUUCUUAGAAUUAGUAAAUGAGUCUCGUAUAGUUAUAAGCAACAUAUGGUGGAAACAAAUUUGGCGCUAAAGUAUAAAUCUUUAUCAAAAUAUAAAUAAUGAUAUGGUGUUUUGCAGAUUUUCGUGGUGGUACGUCUCUUUAGUUAUAGUUUUUUUUAAGUAGUGUCGAAUGAUUAACCCCAGUCAUUUGAGAAACAUAAUAUUGUAUGUAUUCCAUUAAAAUUUGAGAAGUACUUAUUACUAACUUCAUAUACAUAUUUUAUCUAUUCUCUACCACAAUCGACUCAAAACUUAAAAAAAUUAUUUUCAUCACCUCCUUCUUUCUGUCCCUCUUUGUCCUUCAAUGCAGGGUGCAAUACCUGCUAUGCCAUCAUAAAUUUGCAUGGGCAUGUACAUGGUUGAGUUAAGGUGGUGUCCAUGAAAGGCUAUCAUAGGCAAUGUAACUAAAGUGAUGUACUUACAAAUAUAAUCAAUUGUGAGUGUACCAAUAGUGAACUAAGUAUUAAAAUUGUACUCUACGAUGGUUUUUAGGGGCAUGGCUAUAUCAAUGCGAGACCUGUAUGUUUUAAGGCAUUACAUAUGGAAGCCUUGGUUGGCAGAUACAGCUGACUUCAUACAUUAGAGAGGCAUUCAUGUUUAUUUUUAAUGGUGUUAUCGUAUUAUUCGGUAGAUAUGGUAUAUUUAGCUUAUUUAUACAUAUACGUAAAAAUAAGUGAUGAACGACAGGUUAUGUAGUGUAGAUGAAUUUUUUAAUGUAUUAAUAAUGUAUCGUUUGUUUUAGUGGUACUAAUACAAUUUCAUUUAUUAAAAGUGCACCUAACUCUUAAAACAAUGAUAGUAAGUAGUGAUGACAAACAACCAGUUUAUAUAUGACCAGAAUAAAGGGAUUUUUAUUUAAAUCUAAGAGACACUCUUAUCACAUUAGUAGUAUAUUAAAAUCUAUCAUCUAUUUUAGGGUAAACAUAUUUCUUUUUUAUUGUAGGAUAAUCUAAAUUCUCUUACAGUAUAUAUAUACAUAGUGAUAUAUGAUUCCUUUUAGCACUCCUUUUUUUAAUAAAAAAAAAGAUGCAUGUGCAUCUGUACGAAAUUUCUUUCCGAUUUAUAUUCUGGAAUGUUGUACAGUGUUUGAAACACAAACUAUAAUAUAUGCCCGCGCGAAUGCGCGGGUUACCUUCCUAGUUGACUUCAUAAUAUUUACAAAAUAAAAGGUCUUAUAUACAAAAUAUCGUAAAUAUUUACUGUGCCAGAAAUAGCUAUGUUUUAAAACGGAGAUAGUAUUAAGGUAUAUAUCUCCAUUCCCCAUUGUGUGAAAUCUGAUUUCAUCAACUUAUCGUUCCUUCCUUUAUGGCUUCCUCUCUCGGCGAUGGCAGUGGUCUCCCCUCGACGAUUAUAGCGCUGGUGCUCCACCGUCCUCCCUUGACAUCACUGGCGCCGCCGGUGAUGUUCUCCUCUCGACAGUGACGGCGACAGUGCUCCCUCGUCCUCCCUUGACAUCGUCGGCACCGGCAGUGGUUGCGGCUUCCCAUGUCCUCCCAACCAUUAUAGCGGCGUCAGUGACCCUUGCCUAUGCAUAGCAUUUUCUCUGCAGUAACGCAGAGAAAGGGACUGUUUUGAACAGUAAUUGACUUUGUGUGGACGGUGAGCGCAGCAAUACCUAUAGCAGGCCAAACGGGCGGCCCGGCCCAGCACGACACGGCACGCCGACGGCACGGCCCACUAGGGCACGGCCCGUUAGGCACGGCUCCUAUAGCGGGCCGUGCCGUGCCGGCCCACGUGCCAAGGCCACGGCCCAAGCACGGCCCAAGAAGGUGCUGGGCCGUGCCGGGCCGGCACGGCUACUGUAGUGGCACGUGGGCUGGUAGCCGGCCCACUAGUACAUGUGGCCCAUAAAAAUUGAAAUUUGAGGGGAAAAAAAGAAAAAAGGCAGAAAAAACAUAAUAUAAAGGAAAAAAUGAUAAAUAUAGGAUAAAUGUGAGGAAAAUUUAGGAAAUAUAUCAUAAAAUAUAUGGUACAAAUAGGAUAAAAUGUGGAAAAAAAUAAAAAAUAUGAGAAAUAUAUGGGAAAAAUUAGAAAAUCGUAGGAAAAAUAAAUGGGCCGGUGAGCCGUGCCAUGCCUGGGCCGUGCCGUGCCGGUACGCUACAGUAAACGUGCCGUGCCGUGCCAGCCCACGGGCUGAGGCAUCGGCCCAAACACGGCACGGGAUAACGGGCCGUGCCGGCACGGCCCACAGGCUGGCGUGCCGUGCCGGGCCUGGGCCGGCUACAGUACUGCCGUGCUCGGGCCGGCCCGGCUUGGCACGGCCCAUUUGGCCAGGUUUAGCAAUACCUUAGGAAAAAAGCACUGUUGUAUAGUGAUGAAUUUACUGUUCCAGAAGUAAGUAUUGGUGUUACAGAUAGUGCAUACCUCCUAUACAUGAGUUUAUGACAUACAAAAAUACACAUAUCUAAUAUUAUACAAAAAGUAUAUAAAGCGAGUAAGAAAGGAAACUGCUUUUGCAGGAAUAGAAGACGUAAAAGUUUGGCCCAGAAGAGGCAAGGUUUCCUUUGCCUAUAUCCUAACAGGGUUCUUCGAGUUCUACUUGGAGAAAAAUGUAUCUAGCCGUAUAAAUAUACCCCUCCCAAGAGGAAAGAGCAUUGAAUUGCAAGCCCAAGCCAGAGCCACACUAAAAGAUAGCCAGGAGGAAGAUAAGCCCUAGUGCGGACAUCAUCUCGUCGAGAAUUACUCGACGGAUCCUAGUUGAUGGGUUAGAAUAGCUAACUUGCUCUUCGAUUGUAACUAGUGUGGUACUUUUCCAGAGAUAUACAUAUGAACCGGAGUAGUGUUAUUACUCAUCUUGAUGACCCAAACUAGCAUAAAAGUCAUUGUCCCCGUCUUCUUACUACAAUCUCGUGUAUACCUUGGUACCGAUGACUUCCAUACUCUACAAAUACCAUUCUCGGGUAUAGCCCGUCGAUAGUGUUGUGCAGAUUCAACUAUAGCUAUAGUGAUGAGGAUAUUACUAGCUUGGAUAUGACCAUGAUUACCUUAUAUAUUCAUAAACCAAGUGCAUGCUUUCUAUGUGGGAUUUAAGUGUCAUAUAUUUGAACAAACAUUAUUGCACUAUGAGUUUUGCGUGUUCUCAUUUUCAAAGAUAUUUGCUUGGGUAAAGGAAAAGAGACCGAGUGCGAGAGCCGUGUCUUGUCUUGCACAUACUCGGCUCGGUGAAUGGUUCAUCUUCGAUUGGCAUGGAGCAAGAAAACGGAUUGAAGCAGAGCCAGCACACCUCAGUGAAUAUCAUUAUUUAGGACAAGCACGAAGAGGAAGAGCUUUGUCCUUCGGCCUUGAAUCAGCAUAAAGCCCCUCGCCGAGCCACUUCUUUGACAUUACGUUCGAUUUCAACUUCAUGUUCCUGAGUUGCAGAGAACAAUCCAAAUUGAGGCAAUCUUUCCGGAUUUGCUCCGCCUUACAGCCUUGCUUCCCAUUGUCAUUGCCAUUGUAGCACGUGUGUGGCCCAGCCCAUAAGGGCCAUGCGGACUUGACGUCAUCCCCACCUUCAGAAAUA